GAAAGACUCCGGUGAUGAUAAUAGUACGCAAGACUUCAUGGAUGUGAUGCAGUCAGUUCUUGAUGGCAAAAACCUUGGUGGUUACGACGCUGAUACCAUCAAUAAAGCCACAUGCAUGCCUGGUAUGAGUUAUUAAUGAAGCACCCACGUACCAUUUAUAUUUGCAUAUUAUCAGGGCUAGCUUCUUUUCCACAGACAGUUUUUCUUUUGUUUAUAUGUUUUAAUUGAUGCAUAUUCACUUUCUUCUUCUCUUAAUUAAAUUGCAAUAAUUAAACAUACAAUUUAAAUAAAUUUUAAAUUUUAUUUUUAACUAAAAACAAAAGUAUACAUAUACAAAUAUAUAUUGCUUAAGCAAUUAAUUUUUAAAAAUUAUUCUUUCAGAACACCUUAGACAAGUUGAGACAUGCUUCGAGGGAAAUCUAAAUAUAAUGAUUUUAAAAGCUACUUUGUAAUUUUAUUUUCGAGCAUGUUGCAUAAUAUAUGCUUUCCUUGAAUUGAUUUUCUAAAUUUUAUUUUUGUCAGCAAGAAAGGGUUAUCUACGUUUUGGAAGUUAUCUUUAAUUUCCCCUGCAAAGAAUAAGUGUGUGGACCCUGCAUUUCGGCUCAAUGCGUUUCCCACUCGAUGGCGAGCUCGAUUUUUAUUUGAAAAAUGAUUUUUAUUGAUUAUUUAGAAAAUGACUUGGAGUCGCCACUUAUUUUUGUUUUAUUUUUAAAGGGUAAACAAAAUAAGAAAGAAAAACCCUAAGUGUGACUCCUUAUUUUGGAAAAGGUGGUCUGUGAAAAACUGAAUCGGGUUCAGGGGUCAGGUUACUUAUUGGGAAGGUACGGUAUGGACCGUAGCACCCCUCUAAGUCCCUAAAGUCGGGUCUCUACUAAUGAGAUGAAGCUGACAUGGCAAUCAAUGAGAAAAUCAAUGAAUACUCGAAUCAAUCAUGCACAUAUGAGAGACAAAGCAUGUAUAAAGAAUGAGCAAAAUAUGAAUAGAUGCGUACCUGGGCGACAAUCACGAAUGCGCUAUCAUGAAACAUGGUUAGUGAACAAUAAACAUAUAUAAUUAAGCGCAUAUCAAGGAAUAGAGUAAAUCAAUCAUGCAUGACAAAUAAAUCAAUCAAUCAUGGAAUCUCAUAUGUAGGGCCCCCACCAAAACCCAAUUCAUUUUUGCAUGAAUCAAUUCCAUAAAUUCCAUCACUUGGAAUUACGGAAUUUAAUUCUUACUUAUUUUUAAAACAUUUUAAAAACCAAGAAAAUGCACAAGUGGCUUGCCGGAAGGAAAAUGGCAACCAAAUUUUAUUGAAAAUGGGAUUUAAGAAGAUUAUUUUCAAGAAAACAGGGGAUGAGAGAAUAGAAGGAAAUGGCACAUGGUCAAGAGCUGCAUGCCUAAGGUGGCCAUGCAAAAACACUUCCCUCUAAGCUCAGGGUGGAGGGACUGCACUAUAAGGAUCAGUGGUGCUGCAGAGCUUGUCAGAACAGCUGAUGGCAUCAUAGGUGUUGCUCCUGAUUGCCUGAAAGAAUUCAUCUCUAAUGGACGGAAUCGAUUGCUCUACAUGAUUAUUCCAGAAGGUAAUGGUUGAGUCCUUAGCUUCACGAACCCAAUUUUUUAUGUCAUUACUUCCCAUCAAACUACCAUGACAUAGGAGCCACACUGAGCAAACUGAUGAGCCCGCUGCCCCACAUGUAUAGGGAAUCCAGUACAAAGUUAAUUUCCGCGGUUUACGAUGUUCGGAAACAAGGAUACUUAGGUAAGAAUCCAGCUUAUACAUGAUAAAUCACGNNNNNNNNNNNNNNNNNNNNNNNNNNNNNNNNNNNNNNNNNNNNNNNNNNNNNNNNNNNNNNNNNNNNNNNNNNNNNNNNNNNNNNNNNNNNNNNNNNNNGUGGAUGCCGCCUAUGAUACUAGCCUCAGAAAUCAUGCCAUUGACAUCGUUGUGCUUGUUACUAUUGCCAUCUCUAUCUCACAUGUGAGAGCCCUUGAUGGAAUCAAUUAAAAUAAUCCUUGAUAGAAACGUGGACUUCAUGUCUCAAAUCUGGCCUUUCAUAUCUCCUCAUUUGUCCAUGUCAACUAUUGUCACCAAGCCAUAAGCCUCUUGAUCCCAUGAUAACCCCAUUAUUCAACCCAAUACUUCAAUGAUGAUUCUCUUUCAUUUGCAUUCCUGACCUUCUCUUAUCUCCAUUACUGAUCCCAUGGAUGUUUACAGGAUUGAGUAUUUGGACGAGAGCAAACUUUGAUUAGAACCCUGUAUCAUGUUGAGUCUCUGCCAGCCUGGAAGGAUAAAAAUCACGUUGCCCCAUAUGGUGAGUUUUACUUUGAUUUACUCUUCCUCCUUGAUUCGUAUAAUGCAAGAAGGACAGGAGUUAAAAUGUCACGGAUAGCAUGAUGGCAAUGCCCAAAAGUAGCGUCAGUGUACAUUUGAGUCAAACGCGACUCCAUAUCAAACAUUGGCGGCCAGCGUCCAAGUCAAAGGGACGUAGUGCCCAUAAUUCACUGUUGAUAUUCUUCUUUCUGGGGAUGGAACAGAUCCAACUUCAAGGAUUGGGUGAGUCUCCUAAGAACUUUUCAUAAGGAUGGAUGACUGCCCAACAAUGCACUCAGGUUCCAUCAUUGCAAAGCCUCAACAGACUGCAUGCACCAUUCGUCGCGUACCUCACGACAAAUGUGAGUCUGGUUAAUCCCGUAGGAGGACUCCAAGCAGCAUGCAUAACGUACCUCUUCGGAAUAUCACAACGAGACCCACUGGUGCCCUCGUCUGAAUACCCCUCCGCCUCUCAUUCAAGUAAUGGGUGUUGGACCCAUGUAUGCAUGCAAAGAUGGAGGAGUGAAGUGGUGAGAGAAAGGAUGUAUGGAUUUAGCUGCGAGUAAGGUCACGGGUAUGGGAGGAUGGAUGCGGUGAAGACCUUUGAGGGUGAUGAAAAAUGGUGCAUGGAGUAAGAUAGGCUAAAGUGGAAAUGCGUGGUAGAAUGGGCAUAGGAGUAUCAUGAGAGAAGUGUGCAGGGACUACAUGCAUGUGGGUGGCUAGGGAAGUAAAAGAUGGGUUCAACAGUGAAACGUAUGGGAAUGAUGAGAGGGAAAGCGGAUUAGCAGAUGGGGUUAAUGAGUGAUAUGAAGAAUGGGGUAUGAGACCUGGGUAUAAGGUGAAAUGAAUAUGACAUGGUUAUGCAUGGCCAUGCCAUGGCCAUGCAAGAACAUGAUGGAAAGGGAGUGACGGAUGUAUGAAUAAUGGAGAGCAUGAGGAGGUAUGGGAUAGAUGAACAGGGCUGGAUGGUGGAUGAUGAAUAAGUAAUGGUGAAAUGGGUAUGAAAGAGUUUGAAGAGAGAGAAAAGGUGGUAAUGUGGAAUGGGUUUGAUAGGUGGGAGUACAAAGUGGGUAUGAAGAUGGGUAUGAAUGGUUUAGUAGGUACGAGACAAAUGGGUUAGAUGGAGGGUAUAAUGGGUGAUGUAAUGAUGGAAACCCGGGCGUUUAUUCAUCUUUGGAGGCACGAUACCCGGGUCAUGAACAGAUGGAUCACACUUCUUGGCCAGCUGCAUUCAGGCCAUAGUCAAUACAACCGACUUCGCUACCUCCAUUUCCAGGCACAGUGAUUGACACAAAGGAAGGUAACUUCCCAAUAAUCAAGCUUCUUUCGAUACAAGGUCUGCAUGGCUUAGCCGAGUUCAGUUUAGUUGGGUGUCGAAUCCCAUUGGUCAGUAGACCCAUUUGGAGCGAAACUGAACCCUUUAAUCCAAAUGGACCGUUACAGAGAGCACAAAGCAGCAGUAGGAUUAGCAAGACCCAGAGCAUAAGAGCGGGCUGUGACCAUGGCAGAGAUUCCAAAUUAGAAAGCAAGCACAAAACCAUCCAUGGAAGAGGUUAUCCAAGGUUUUGGAUGCUUAUGAAGUUUUCCCGCAAGUUGAACGAAUCUGUAACAGAGUGCCUUCUGAUCUAACCUGCAUAGUUUCAACAUGUACCACACCAUCCCCAUUCACGGUACCUCCAAUCACUAUGUCACCCUUCUUUCUUCGCCAUAGGCCUAGCAUCCUCUGUGAGCAUGUUCUUGAACCCACAAUCUCCCGCUUUACCUCAUGGAAACAUGUCAACCAAAAUAGCCCACCCAUCAAGUGACUGAUUCAACUCUGAUACCCGACAUCUCAGAUGCACCAACAACAGAAGCACAAAAGGGUAGGAAAUGGGGCCAAAACAGAAAAGAACGAAGGAAGGAUAAACGAGGAAUAAAGUAAAACAUAAGUGUAUAGAGCCUCAUUUCAGGUGACAUCCAUGGGCUUAUACAAGUGAGGAGAUCUCAAGUUAGAGUUACAGAAUAUAUGAGGAACCGAGUUCUAUUAACUCCAAGCCAAACCACAAGAACAGCAGUAAAAUCAACAACAAUAGAGUAUAAAAACGAUCCAGAAAUCAACAAAAUUCAGUACGUAUGACCCAACUCAAAUUGAUGAGCAAUGCAGAGCAAACCAAAAUGAGAAAAGGGUGAGAAAAAUAUGAAUCAAAGUAAGCAAGAAACUCACCUCAAACUCACCUGCAGACGCUCCUCUCUCUAUUCCUUCAUUCUCUAAGCUUCAGCUAGCCAAAAACAACGCCCAGAAUCUCCGUCACACAGCCACCCAAAACCUCCUCCUCUGCAGCCUCGAACCUCUCUGCCAACAAACAGCAACCAAAAGCACCUCCCCCUCUCGGAAACUUCUUUCUCCCUAAAAAAAAACUCUCAGACCAGCCUCUCUAAAGCUCCCCCUCUCUCAAGUUCACCGUCCAAAAUUACUCCUCUCAUGGAAAAACUCCCUGGAAUCCCCUCAGCAGCCCCGGUACCUCCAGCUAAAAGAAAAUCACCCCCCCCGGUUCUCAUGUCUCUCUCACCUUUUUUUCUCUCUAGCCAAAACCAGCUUUCUUUUCCUCCCUUUGGAAAUAUCUCCCUAACGGCCAGACGACACCCACCUGCCUUGCAGCUGCAAGCCUCCACUCCCCCCUAUGCAGCUGGCAGCCUCCCAAAAUCAACCCAACAAAAGCUCUUCCCCUAAAGAUUUCUGCCACCUUCCUCUUCUAGGCAAUAUCUCUUUUCUGUCCCGGAUUUGCCCCUCCAACAAUCCCUGUAGCCACCUCCAGCACCACUACACUCUGCAUGCAACUGGCAACACCUCCUAACGGAAAGCACGCUCCCUUCUUCUAGAAUGUUCUUCACUUUCCAGGUGUCUUCCUCUUAUUAGUCCAUCAAUUCCACCAUAGUGAUUCCACUAGUAGCCAACCCGAGAGUGACACGUGGCCAUGCGAGAUGGUGACACUUGUCCAGCAUCAGCUGCAAGAAUGACUCCCAAAAUGGGGGUCUACAACUAUGCCCAUUUUCGGUAGAGUUCACAAGUGUAAGGAAAAUGAACACUGGAAUGAAAGGUAGGUGUGAAUAGUGAGUGGAAUGAAGUGAACUCUACCGAAGAACCAAGGAGACCCCCAUAGGGACACUAGCAAAACACGAAUUCGCUCAGGCUGACAGACUGACACAAAGGCUCUGAUCCUAAAACAAAAUGAUGUCUCAAAAUGCCUCUGAGGCCAUACUAAGGAUCCAAGCUCCCUUUAACAUGCCUCCAAAAGUGACCCGAAGAUCGAUGUCAAAAGUGAGUAACGGUCGAACCACCCUGGAGUACGAACAAGAAUGCGUCUAAAGGAGACUGCCCUAUGUGGACUAUGAGAUGAAUAGGUGAUAAGCACAGGGUAACGAGGUGAGAAGAGUGAGAAUAAGUGCAAAUCCAUGAAGGUGAGAUGCGCAAUGCCAGUGAAUAUGAACGCUAGGGGCUGCGACUCUGAAUGACGAGACUGACCCUAAACGCUAAACUGAGAAAAACAAUGGCUCUGGAAGCCAGACCAAAAACUAACUCUAAAAACUAAACUAGAAUAACAGCUCUGGAAGUCAACCAAAAACUAACUCUAAAAGCUAAACUAGAAAACAACAGCUCUGGAAGCCAACCAAAAACUAACUCUAAAAACUAAACUAGAAAAUAACAGCUCUGGAAGCCAACCAAAAACUAACCCUAAAAGCUAAACUAGAAAACAAACAGCUCUGGAAGCCAACCAAAAACUAACUCUAAACUAGAAAAUAAUAGCUCUGGAAGCCAAACUGAAAACUAACUCUAAAAGCUAAACUAGAAAACAACAGCUCUGGAAGCCAAACCAAAAACUAACUCUAAAAACUAAACUAGAAAAUAACAGCUCUGGAAGCCAACCAAAAACUAACCCUAAAAGCUAAACUAGAAAGUAACAAACAGCUCUGGAAGCCAACCAAAAAACUAACUCUAAAAACUAAACUAGAAAAUAACAGCUCUGGAAGCCUAAACAAGUCGACAGUAACGACUCUGGAAGCCUAAACAAGAUGAUAGUAAUGGCUUUGGAAGCCUAAACAAGAUGACGGUAACGACUCUGGAAGCCUAAACAAGAUGAUAGUAAUGGCUCUGGAAGCCUAAAUAAGAUGACGGUAAUGGCUCGGAAGCCUAAACAAGAUGACAGUAACGACUCUGGAAGCCUAAACAAGAUGAUAGUAAUGGCUCUGGAAGCAUAAACAAGAUGACAGUAAUGACUCUGGAAGCAUAAACAAGAUGACAGUAAUGGCUCUGGAAGCAUAAACAAGAUGACAGUAACGACUCUGGAAGCCUAAACAAGAUGAUAGUAAUGGCUCUAGAAGCCUAAACAAGAUGAUAGUAAUGACUCUAGAAGCCUAAACAAGAUGAUAGUAACGACUCUGGACGUCGAAACUAAAAAGUGAUGAUGAUGACUCUGAACGUCAAACUGAGAAGUGAUAACGACUCUGAACGCCAAAACCGAGGAUGCGACUCUGAAUGUCGAUCUGAAAACCGAUGAUGGCUCUGAACGCCUAAACUGAGAAAUGAUGAUGAUGACUCUGAACGUCAAACUGAGAAGUGAUAACGACUCUGAACGCCGAAACCGAGGAUGCGACUCUGAAUGUCGAUCUGAAAACCGAUGAUGGCUCUGAACGCCGAAACUGAGAAGUGAUGAUGAUGACUCUGAACGUCAAACUGAGAAGUGAUAACGACUCUGAACGCCGAAACUGAGGACGCGACUCUGAAUGUCGAUCUGAAAACCGAUGAUGGCUCUGCACGCCGUAACUGAGAAGUGAUGAUGAUGACUCUGAACGUCAAACUGAGAAGCAAUGAUGAUGACUCUGAACGUCAAACUGAGAAAGUGAUAACGACUCUGAACGCCGAAACCGAGGAUGCGACUCUGAAUGUCGAUCUGAAAACCGAUGAUGGCUCUGCACGCCGUAACUAAGAAGUGAUGAUGAUGACUCUGAACGUCAAACUGAGAAGCAAUGAUGAUGACUCUGAACGUCAAACUGAGAAAGUGAUAACGACUCUGAACGCCGAAAUCGAGGAUGCGACUCUGAAUGUCGAUCUGAAAACCGAUGAUAGCUCUGAAUGCCGAAACUGAGAAGUGAUGAUGAUGACUCUGAACGUCAAACUGAGAAGUGGCUCUGAACGCCGAACUGAAAAAUGUGACAUGAUGACUCUGAAUGUCGUAAACCGUGAAUGAACGGCGACUCUGAACGCCAGACUGCAAGGAAACAAUGUGGGGGAAAUAUGCCCCAGUGUGACAUGCCGCUGCAAAUCUCAAACUGCUAGAAAUGGCUAAAAGGGACUCUACGAGUCUCGAAAGACGCACCACUAAGAGCUCAUGUCAAUGAAGAGCUCAGGAACAACGGUCAGUGAGGCGAAUACAAUAUAUCUCGGCCGAGUGAUGGAAACCGCGACGGACAUGUGAGAGAACGAUCGCCUCCAUGGCUAAAUGAGGGAAAUACGCCCCAGUAUGGCAUCAGAUGUACCCGAUCUGCCCUGAUGACCCGAGAAUAACACCAUGGGGAUGCAUAAAAGACCUGAUGUGUACCGCACUGAAAUGAUGACAUGGGGAUCCAAGCACUCGACAUAACCCCAUCCAGGAAUCACGACUAUAUCAAAGAGUAUGAAUCUGGCUGAACGAGUCAAGAGAGGCUCCUCGGAGUAUCAGGACAAAAUGAAAUCAAUCAUCAACCUGGCGUGUAUCUCAUAACUGUGGAUGAUCAUGUAAACCAGUGGGGAUCUAUAAAUCUCGAUCAAGAUGGGGAAUAUGCCCCAGUGUGGCAUCGGAAAUGUAACAUGUCGAAAAAUCAGCUGAGCUCAAAUCAUCUAUGCCUGCAACUAGCUAGAUGGCUCUCGAUAGGCUCCACUAAGGAAUCAUCGCGAGGAUAGCGAAUAUAUCAUCAUCCCUGUAUACAUCUCGCAAAUAAGGAUAAGCACGCAACUUCCUCAUGAUCUGUAAAUCUCAUCCGAACGGAAAUAUGCCCCUGUAUGGCAUCGAAAUGUAGGAUAGGUCGGAGAUCAGAUAGCAUGGAAUCAUCUAUCUUAGAACAUGUGACCUCUGCGAAAAUCCAUAAAGAUCCUCCGAAACGGAAUAUGCCCCAGUAUGGCAUCUGACGUGCGACAAACCAGGAAAAACAGGUGACAUCGAAUCAUCCCUCAUCAAACACGUGAUCCUGGUAAUCCAAACACGGUCGAAACGGAUCUAAACAUCUGAGAAGUGUUUCUCAGAAGAAGAUGCAUGGCAAAUAUCUGGAUGUCAACUGAAUCUCAAACACCUGUCCACAUAGAAGCCGUAGAAGACGAUAUCUGAUCCCAUGGCCUCAGGGUGGUCUUAAGACACAGGACGUAAUGUAGGCUAGGGUGAUAGGGUGAUAGAAACGAAGGGAAACUAAGCUCAAAUACCCAAUGAUCAAAACCCAUGCCCUCGUGUGUGAAAUGCAACAUGUACAGAAAAUCCUGUGAGCCCUGGACCUGAGGGUGUCUAAUGUGAAUAUGAUGUCAAUGAGGAAACAAGUGAAGCAAAUCAAACUGAUAAUGAGAUAUGUAAUGGUGAUACGAAGGGAAUAUCAAACCCGAGAUGGGUCUGGUAAGAAAAGAAUGAGAAGUGAAGUGAGAAUGACGAAUCAGAAGCGAAAACGAGGACGAUGAUAAUGAAGCGAAUAACAUCAAAAGGAGUGAUGAUCAACUCAGAUCAGACAUGGAGUGAUGUCACAUCAACUACGAACAUAAUGAUGGAACGUACAAUAACGCAGAGCUCCUAAGAGAAAGUCACUCAUCUCGCUCACAAAAUAUGCAACAAAAUGAAUACAAAGCCUGAGGGAUCCAGGGAAGCUCACAUACGAACUCCCGUCAACAAACAUACUCGAUCAAGUGACCCUCGAAUAUCAAUACAUACACUCAGUGAUGGAUAACAAAACACACUUGAUUUUUAUUUCUUUUUCCAUUUUUUUUUUUUCAUUUUUUUCAUUCAUUUUUUUUUUUUUUUACAACAUAUAAAUGAACUGUACAUGAUCUGAAUGCAUACAAAGAAGACCCAAAGACGGGAUCAAAAAUGAAUAAACAUGCCCUCAAAUAUCAAUAUAUCACAAACUCAAUCUAAUGAGAUGAGGUGACCUUCUCAAACUGAGGAUCCCUGGAUCAGUGUCCGUGGGAUAGAUAGUGGAAAUGGCGUGACUACCCUCCAUGUGAUGAAAUGAGGAGGAUCACCCCUCGGGGUGAAAGAAGAUGACAUGAAACGAAUAGUAGAUAAGAUAAAGAAAAUAUGAUGAAUAACACGAACAGUGAGAUGAGAUGAAAUGCAAUGAUGCAGUGGUGAGCACAGAUAAUGAGAAGAACGUGCCCCUAGGUCCAAGGCUCAUGAAACUCUCAAACAAUGCAUGCAUACACUAAAGGGCCCCAAUCCCGGUGUGAAAAUGUGAGCAAGGCUAUAGAAAAUGAAGGCUAUGAUGCGCGUGUGAGGCUCAAAUGGGCUAGCAAUGGACUAUAUAUAUCAGAAACGGGAUAAAGGGAUAUAGCUAACCGAAAUGAUGGCCACCCAUCCUGCGACCAUGGACUCAAACGUAGUACCUCUUUAGCUGAUCCACAUUGGUCGGCUCUGAGAACUGGUUUCCAUCUAAAUCCAUCAGCCAUGCAGCGCCCUCUGGAGUCAACUUCCUGAUGAAAUAAGGUCCGCUCCAACUAGGUCUGAACUUCCCUCUAGGAUCUCUGAUCAAUCCUCUGAUGACUCUCAAAACUAAGUCACCUACAUGCAGUGGUCUAGGCUUGACCUGCUUUUUGAAAGCGCGGGCCAUCUUCCUCUGAUAUGCACGAACGUGGUCUGCUGCUCUCAAUCUCCUCUCAUCUAGGAGAUUGAGCUGAUCAAAUCGAGCCUGAGCCCAAUCCGUCUGGGGAAUCUGCUGCUCUAGUGCUACUCUCAAUGAUCCCAUCUCAAUCUCAACAGGUAGCACUGCCUCCAUGCCGUACACCAAUGAAUAGGGUGUGGCUCCUGUAAAGGUGCGAAAAGAAGUCCGAUAUGCCCACAAUGCGAAAGGGAGCUUCUCUGACCAAUCCCGAGAAGUCUCAACCAUCUUUCGCAAUAUCCUCUUAAUAUUCUUAUUCGCGGCCUCUACUGCCCCAUUCGUCUGCGGCCUGUACGCAGACGAUCUAUGAUGCCGGAUGCCGUAUCUCUGCACCAAGGUGUCAACCUCUGCUCUGAAAUGCACCCCUCUGUCUGAAAUAAGCUCGUGAGGGACUCCAUAGCGACAAAUGAUGUGCGAUCUAAUGAAACUGACAACUCCAGAUGACGUCAAUCUCGCAUACGAGGCGACCUCCACCCACUUGGUGAAGUAAUCAAUAGCAACAAGGAUAAACUCAUGACCACUGGAAGAUUUCGGUGAAAUCUUCUCGAUGAUAUCGAUACCCCAUACUGAAAACGGCCAUGGUGAAGUCAAUGCAUGCAACUCCGAGGGCGGCACGUGAAUGAGAUCUCCAUGUAUCUGACACUCGGGACAUCUCUGAACGAACUGGCAACAAUCUGUCUCCAUGGUCAACCAAAAGUAUCCUGUCCUCAUGAUCUUACGGGCCAACAUAUGCCCCCCAUAUGUGGUUCGCAGACUCCCGCAUGAACCUCUCGCAUAACUCUAUCGGCAGAAGCGCGAUCCAAACAUAAUAGCAGUAUCCCAUCAAAUGAUCGUCUAUAUAGCGUCUCGCCACAAAUCACGAAUCGGGUGGCCAACUGUCUCAAUGCCCUCCUAUCCUUGGCCGUGGCGGCCUCAGGAUAUAUGCCGAGUCUCAAAAAGUGAUAUAUGUCAUGAUACCAGGGCAAACCAUCGUCUAUCUCCAUAUCAUCAAUCAAACAACAAUACGCAGGAGCAGAUCUCGACUCAAUCAACAAAGGGCGAACAGUGGCAUCAGCGGGAAUGUCGAUCAUGGAAGCUAGAGUAGCUAAAGCAUCAGCAAACUGGUUUUGCGCUCUAGGCAGAUGUGUAUAUCUCAAAUCCUCAAAUCUCGCGACCAGUAGCUCCAAAUACGCGUGGUAAGGCCUAAGCUUCACAUCUCUAGUCUUCCACUCGCCUUGAAUCUGUCUCAAUACCAGAUUGGAGUCACUAAACACCUCCAUCUGUCUAAUCCCAAGCUCGAGGGCUGUCUCUAACCCCAAGAUACAUGUCUCAUACUCAACAAUGUUGUUCGUGGCUGGAUGUCGAUCCGAGAAUGCCAAACGAACAGAUCUGGGAAUGUGAUCACCAUGAGGGGAUAUCAACAAAACGCCUAUCCCGUAUCCAGAAUGGUUGGCUGCACCAUCAAAGUACAUGCGCCAACCCGACAGACUAGUCGCAGCUGCGACGUCCUCGUCUGGAAAAUCAUCGUCAAUAGCUCUGGCAUCAGAAACUGGUAAUGAGGCUAAGUGAUCUGCGACAAUGCUCCCUCUGAUGGACUUCUGAGUGACAUAAUGAAUGUCAAACUCAGUCAGAAGUACCAGCCAUCUCAUAAGGCGACCAACUAGAGCGGGCCUGUCAAACAAAUAUCUCAAAGGAUCAAGACGAGAUAUCAAAUGCACUGAAUACUCGGUCAUGUAAUGUCUCAAUCGGCGAGUGGCCCAAACCAAUGCCAAGCAGUAGCGCUCAAUCGUGACGUAUCUCGUCUCGUAAUCUAGCAUCCUCUUGCUCAGAUAAUAAAUGGCUCGAUCUUUGCCCGAAUCAUCGAGCUGAGCUAACAUGCAACCUAAAGCCACAUCCGAAACUGAUAGGUAUAGGAGUAGAGGAUGGUCUGGUGUAGGCGGAGCCAAAACUGGAGGCGACAACAAGUACUCUCGGAUCCUCUCAAAUGCGCGCUGACACUGAUCAUCCCAAACAGUAGGUUGACUCUUCCUCAAGAGUCGGAAAAUGGGCUCACAAAUGUCUGUCAAUCUGGCUAUGAAUCUACUGAUGUACUGAAGUCUGCCCAGGAAGCCUCUGACCUCUCUCUCUGUCCUCGGUGCAGGCAUGUCAAGGAUGGCUCUAAUCUUGUCCGGAUCUACCUCUAUGCCUCGCUCACUGACCAUGUACCCCAAGAGUUUCCCAGAAGUCACUCCAAAAGUGCACUUCUUGGGAUUCAGCCUCAAUCUAAAUUGUCUGAUCCUCUCAAAGAACCUCUCAAGAGCUGCCAAGUGAUCUGAUCUAUCUCGGGAUUUCACUAUCAUGUCGUCUACAUAAACCUCGACAUCCCGAUGCAUCAUGUCAUGGAAGAGUGUGGUCGCUGCUCUCUGAUAGGUGGCUCCUGCGUUCUUCAAUCCGAAUGGCAUGACUCUAUAGCAAUAAGUACCCCACUCGGUAAUGAAGGACGUCUUCUCCAUGUCCUCUGGAGCCAUCAAGAUCUGACUAUACCCGGAAAAUCCGUCCAUAAAGGACAACAUCGAGUGACCUGCUGUACUGUCAACUAACAUGUCGAUGUGUGGGAGAGGAAAAUCAUCUUUAGGACUGGCCUUGUUGAGAUCUCGGAAAUCAACACAGACUCUCACCUUGCCGUCUUUUUUGGGAACAGGGACGACAUUGGCCAGCCACUCUGGGUACUCGACUACUGAUAGAAAUCCUACACUGAGCUGCUUCUGAAUCUCCUUUUUCACCUGCAAGCUCCAACGAGGGUGCAAUCGUCUCAACCUCUGCUUAACCGGUCUGGCAUGGGGCAGAAGUGGCAAACGAUGCUGGACGAUGGAUGGAUCAAGGCCCGGCAUGUCCUCAUAGGACCAUGCGAAAACGUCCAAGUAGGAUCUGAGCAGCUGGAUGAGACUAUCUCUCUCAUCUGAGGAUAAAUCUGACCCGAUCCUCAACUCCCUAGGCUGAUCUGCGGUGCCGAAAUCAACAAUCUAUGUGUCUCCUACAGCAGGUGAAACCCUCUGAUCAACGGGAUCCGAAUCGGAAACAGAAGAUGAGUCAUCAUCUGAGUCGUGCUGUGCAAUCUCAUCAUCAAUAUCAAAAAUCUGUGAUGUGGGUGAAGAUGGUGCAGAUAAAUCAAUAUCACAAGAGACAGGCAGGUACUAAAAAAUGCUCAAAUCCAUAGAUGAAACAUCGGAAACAAUGUCAGAACGGGAGACAAACCCCGACUGAACGUCAAAUGAAAGAGGUGGGUCCACAAAGUCGGACGCUUCCUCAACAAUGCCAACAUGGCUAUCAAUCAAAUCAUAAAAAACUAUAGCAUCCUUAGUAAUCUCCAGAGCAGGGGCUGUCUGGAUCUCCUCAACGAUCUCGAUGAAAGACACCCCGAAAAGAUCGAAUGGUGAAGUGAGCCCAGGAUGAACUCUCUCCUCGAUCGGGCCCAGGCUCAGGGCGAGCAUCUCGUCGAUGUACUCGUCGUGUGGGACGGCUCCGUCCACUAUGUCUCCGACCCCAGCAAAGGUCUCAUGCUCAUCGGUCUCGUCCGGGAAGCAAAGCGUUAUAAGGCUCGUGCGAUCUGGAGACGAAGGAGCAAUCAACACAGAAGUCGAAGAGCCAGGAGCUCCAUCUCUCAAUCGUAACUGAUGGACAAGGCGCUGAAGCUCGACCUCCUGAGUGGUGCUAAGUCCUCCAAUGAUCACGUCCGCACGGGUCAAUGGCUCUGAUGCCCUCACAAAAUAAUCAGAUAAGCUCCUGGUGUAUGGGCGAAGAGGAUAGUAGAAAGGUGUGUGGGUCAGUCACUCUCUCCUUGCGCAAACGCGCCAUGUAGAGAUAAUCGGCCUCAAUGGGGAUGAACCCGAGUCCGAACGGUACGUCGUGAUCAGGGAUGGCUAUGAACUCGCUCGGUCCAUGCUGACAUCGACCCAACCCCAUGCCGGGUAGAUAGGACAUGCUUCGCAUAAUAUCGAGCACCACUGUGCUCCCAUGCCGGUCAAAGGACAUGGCCACAAAAUCCCGGCAGAAAUCCUCUAUCUCCACAGUCUGCACCUCAUCGAAGGUGAAUUCAGUCAGAAAAAGAUCGUCAUCAGUGUGACUAAUCUCGAGCACAGGCUCGGCAACAAUGAACAUGUCUCCCACAGACUGUACCACGACGACCUGACCAUCGUGAAUAAACUUCACCUUCUGAUGAAGGGAAGAAGGAAUGGCCCCGGCUCUAUGGAUCCAUGGUCGGCCCAGAAGCAGGUUAAAGGAUGUAGGAAUCCUCAAAACCUGGAAUACAGCGACAAAAGUGGCCGGACCGAUCAGCAACUCGAUCUCCAAUGUACCCAUGACCUCUCUACGGGUGCUAUCAUAAGCUCGGACGGUCUGAGUGGAGGGACCGAAAUCAGAAGGAGCGUAUCCAAGGGCGAUGGCAGUGGCAAGAGGACAUACGUUCAGGGCCGAGCCAUUGUCCAAAAGGACAGAUGGGACUCGGCGGCCUGAACAGCCAACAGAUAUGUAGAGCGGACGAGUGUGGUCCGAGCCCUCCGGUGGCAAGUCAUCAUCGGAAAAGACGAUACAAGUGGCUCUGCCAGCCGUCAUCAUAUGAAGGAGUCCCUCGGGAGUGGUCGUGGUAUCAACUCUGAUCUGGCUCAGAGCUCGAGUCAGUGCGUCCCGAUGGGUACUGGAAGACGCUAAAAGGCUCCAGAUAGAAAUACGAGCCUGAGUGCUCUGCAACUGCCUCAAAAUCUCGUCAUCCUCUGCUCUCACCUCCUCCUGGGAUGACGUACCCCCUAAGGGUCUAGCGGGAGCGGCUGGAGGUGGCUGUCUCACUACUCUCCCUCCCCGGAGGAUAUACUAAACGUCCGGAGUCUGAGGAUCAUCACUAUGUGGAGCCUGAACCUCCUCAACAUCUGGGAUCAGAAUGUACGGCGCCUGAACGCUAUAGCGUGUGAAUGUCAGAGGCUCGGAAGUGGCCGCCUGUACAGAUGCUGCCUCAGGAACUAAUCGGAAUGGAGCAGGCAUCUGUGGCUCUAGAGUCACCCCACUCGUCUCGUAAAUCACAGCUGGCAUGAUAGGCUCUGGGUCUGGAUCAUCCCAACUCAACAUAUGGACAUGAUCAUCAGUCUCAUCGAAGUCCAAGAAAUGAAUACCACAAGCUGGUGGAGGAACUGCAUGUGUGGUGUGGGUCGGCAACGGGUUUGUGGUCACACUCGGCUGACCCAAGUGUACCAAACCCUGGUCUAUCAGAUCCUGAAUAGCGUGCCUCAGAGCGGUGCAUCGAUCGGUCUCAUGUCUAGGCCCCUGAUGAUAAGCACAGUGUAAAUCCAUCCUGAACUGAGCUGGAAUAGGCUGAGGUAGUGGCCGAGGGGUGAGAGCAGUCAAUAAACCAGCCUCCGUAAGCUUCCGAAGAGCCUGGCUCAACGGCAUGCCUAUCUGCGAGAACUGCCUCUGCGUCCUCAAAGUAAACGGAGCAGAAGUCUGCUGGGCUCCAGGUCGGGGAUAAGGCGCCGCAGGUCUCGCGGUGAACUGAGCAGCGUAGCAUGGCUGCCCUGUGGCUGUGUAGGAGACCGCGGGUCUCUCAAUGCCCUGAGUGGCAUAAGAAGGUAAAACCAAUGUCUGUGGCAUGUGUGUCUGAUCGUAAGCCGGACGAGGUGCCCGUGGCCUGUACUGAUGAGAUGCAUAGGAAGAAUGAGGCUCGAAAAACUGUGGGAUCGGCUGAUGGCGUCUAAGAGGCCUCUGACUGGAUGAACUGAUAGCACCAACCUCUGUCGGUCUCGGUCCUACGAAUAGUUUCUUCCCCUUAACAUCACUAGGGGAAGAAUCUGCCCAUAAACCUCUCGUGAUGCCGUCCUCGACAUCAUACAAAGCCAUAACCAGAGACCCAAAAUCUGUGAACGGGACCCCGACCACAUGUCUGGCGAUCCCCGGCUGUAGGCUCCUCAAAACCAUCUGAAUCUAGUCUCUCUCUGAUGGUCUAUCCACUAUCUCAGCUAUCUUCCCGCGCCAGCGGGAAAUGAAAGAAGAAACGGACUCCUCUGUCCUCUGCCUUAGAGCCUCGAGCUCUCUCCUCGAUACAUCUACAACAGUGUUAAACGAAAACUGUCGUAGGAACUCCUGGGCCAAGUCAUCCCAUGUACGGCGUCUCGAGGACUCCAGAGACGCAAACCAGCGCUGAGCUGCCCCACUCAGAGAUAGGGGGAAAAGAGUGAUCAUUUGAGGCUCGUCCAGUCCAUGAGCCCUCAUCACGGUGCUAUAAAGUCUGAGGUGGAGGCGCGGACAACCAAUACCAGUGUACCUCUCAAUAUCUGGCAUCCUGAACUUAGUUGGCAAGCUGGCUACCGGCAUACCCCCAAAAUCAUCCCAAACAACUGAUCCAUCUGACACUCUCAUCUGCCUCAUACACUGCUCGAUGCGGUCCAUGCGGGCAUGCGUGUCAUCAGCGACAACGGCCUGGGCGACUACGGGUGGAGUGAUCUCAGAAUGCCCGUGUAAUACAUAUGGUGAUGCCUGAUGCACUGAAGGAACGAGUGGGGGUGGUGGAGGUGGGUGUGAGUCAUAUGGCGUCUCAUCCUGGACUGCUGGUGGUCUACCCUACUGACCACCGAUCUCCUGCCUGAGGCUAGCCAAAGCCUCCUGGAUAGAAGCCAUGGCAGCCGUGAACUGAUCGACCGUGACAACCUGCUGAUCCAUAUCUGGUGUAUCUGAAACCCGAACUAAUCUGCCCUCUACUCUGAUCCACGAAACUAUACCCAGACUGAGAGUAAAAAUCCUGAUCCUGAAAGUACUCCUCUUCUGCUCUGAUCCACAAAGGUAUAUCAAGACAAGGAACAAAUGUCCUAUCCUACAAAGCACGAAGAACGUAAUAAGGAUAUGGCCCGGGGAACGUAUAGAAGAAAAGAUAAUCUGAACAGGAACAAGCAAAGCAUCCAAGUGAAGAUGAGCGAUCCGACCGUACUCAAACUCGUCCUGAUCUCAGUGCACUCUCAACUGGAGACUAAACAGAGGGAAAAUCGGAUCCAAAACUGCGGCUACAGAGGCACGGAAAGCCCUCAGAUGCACCCACGUGUAGGGAGGGAAUCCUAAUCGAAGGAUCUACGGCUCAACCUACAAGGUCAAGGUGGCUCUAAAUGGAUAAGGGUGGACUUUAAAAUAUCCCUAGCAGAAGCGAUUAUACCCUCCGACGGUACGCAACCCUCUGCACGUCUCCGAAGAGACGGGGCGCUUCCAUGCAAGGUGGUCAUCACCUCCACACAUGCACUACCUCGCAUCCCAGGGGGUUUCCUAUGGUGAAACCUCUCAAACUCUCAACACUCAAUAGUCGACUAGAGUGCACAGUGAAUGGUGUGGGUGCAUCCGAAACCCUAAAAAGCUAAAGCAGGAUAUGAAACACACUGGCCACACAAAUAUCCAUGAAACCUAGCUUCGGGCUAUACAGGUCUUCAAUGAUCGGACUCCAAUCGACAUCAAAGUGUCGCUCUCCUCCAAAAUGCUCCCGUGCAUCGAUAUAGCCCAUCGCUAGACCCUACUCCUAAUCUCCGGCUCGGUCAAAGAGCAAGCACACAGAAGGUCUCACACUUGCAAUAGUGAGAACCGAAAUGAAAGGAAUGACCGAAACCAAGAGAGUUGGAGGUAGGGGGAUAGAAGUGAGACCCACAUAGACAGGCAACAUGCAAUCAUACAGAGGGAGGGCAGUCAUGCAUCAUACGGUCAAGCAGAGUAUAGGAUAUAUCACUCAUGUCCACACAAAAAAAAAAGCUACAACUAUCAGGAUGAAUAGUGAUAUGAACAUCAUGCUCAAAAGAUGAUCUAGAUAAUAUGCAGGUCAGAGAAAACAACACAGCAAGUCAAACGAUGUACAAUAGUGAGUCUAUGCAUGUGAAGUGAGCAGAAUAAUCAGGAAGAAACAGAAUCGCUUUACCAAGCAAAACAAGGUGAGCAACCUAUGAUAAUCGGCAUGUCAAUGUACCAAACUAAUAUAGCAAUGAAGUACAAAAAAAACGACAUCCGAAGCCCCAAAUCAAGAUGAUCAAUCAUAUCAAUGUCACAACAUAAUAUCCAAGCAUACAUAAAAAAAACUCUCAAUGUGCAAUCAAGAGACAGGUACUCGCUGAUCGACUCAUCAAAUGCCCUGUUUGCUUCAUCUUAAGUUCAAGCUUGACCCUCUAACUCAUCCCCAGCGGAGUCGCCAUUUUGUGGACCCCGCAUUUCGGCUCAAUGCGUUCCCCACUCAAUGGUGCAUGCAGUCUGUUGAGGCUUUGCAAUGAUGGAACCUGAGUGCAUUGUUGGGCAGUCAUCCAUCCUUAUGAAAAGUUCUUAGGAGACUCACCCAAUCCUUGAAGUUGGAUCUGUUCCAUCCCCAGAAAGAAGAAUAUCAACAGUGAAUUAUGGGCACUACGUCCCUUUGACUUGGACGUUGGCCGCCAAUGUUUGAUAUGGAGUCGCGUUUGACUCAAAUGUACACUGACGCUACUUUUGGGCAUUGCCAUCAUGCUAUCCGUGACAUUUUAACUCCUGUCCUUCUUGCAUUAUACGAAUCAAGGAGGAAGAGUAAAUCAAAGUAAAACUCAUCAUAUGGGGCAACGUGAUUUUUAUCCUUCCAGGCUGGCAGAGACUCAACAUGAUACAGGGUUCUAAUCAAAGUUUGCUCUCGUCCAAAUACUCAAUCCUGUAAACAUCCAUGGGAUCAGUAAUGGAGAUAAGAGAAGGUCAGGAAUGCAAAUGAAAGAGAAUCAUCAUUGAAGUAUUGGGUUGAAUAAUGGGGUUAUCAUGGGAUCAAGAGGCUUAUGGCUUGGUGACAAUAGUUGACAUGGACAAAUGAGGAGAUAUGAAAGGCCAGAUUUGAGAGAUGAAGUCCACGUUUCUAUCAAGGAUUAUUUUAAUUGAUUCCAUCAAGGGCUCUCACAUGUGAGAUAGAGAUGGCAAUAGUAACAAGCACAACGAUGUCAAUGGCAUGAUUUCUGAGGCUAGUAUCAUAGGCGGCAUCCACCAGGCCAUUUUGAUCCAUAAGAAAGGUAGCAAAGUGCAUCGGGGCUUCCUCUUCGUUUUGGGUGGAAUGGUGAUCUUUGUGUUCCUCAACGACAUCCAUGGAGUGGAGUAGAUUGUUUAUUUGACAGUAGCAAUUGCAAAUGGGUCAUUAAUGGACUUGGUUUUGAUUACCAGGGCUUGAGAGGUUUCUUACCGAAUGAUAUAUCCCAAUCGCGCCAUCUACAUGCAACACGUCAGAAUGAUUCUUCUGUGGAUGGGAGCUAUUCAUGUCCUCUGGUGUUUGAGAAACUGCCAGACGUAAACCAGGAAGGGUCCCAGUGGACAGAUUGUGAAAUUCGAGAGACCAUCAACGUGAUUUAUCAUGUAUAAACUGGAUUCUUACCUAAGUAUCCUUGUUUCCGAACAUCGUAAACCGCGGAAAUUAACUUUGUACUGGAUUCCCUAUACAUGUGGGGCAGCGGGCUCAUCAGUUUGCUCAGUAUGGCUCCUAUGUCAUGGUAGUUUGAUGGGAAGUAAUGACAUAAAAAAUUGGGUUCGUGAAGCUAAGGACUCAACCAUUACCUUCUGGAAUAAUCAUGUAGAGCAAUCGAUUCCGUCCAUUAGAGAUGAAUUCUUUCAGGCAAUCAGGAGCAACACCUAUGAUGCCAUCAGCUGUUCUAACAAGCUCUGCAGCACCACUGAUCCUUAUAGUGCAGUCCCUCCACCCUGAGCUUAGAGGGAAGUGUUUUUGCAUGGCCACCUUGGGCAUGCAGCUCUUGACCAUGUGCCAUUUCCUUCUAUUCUCUCAUCCCCUGUUUUCUUGAAAAUAAUCUUCUUAAAUCCCAUUUUCAAUAAAAUUUGGUUGCCAUUUUCCUUCCGGCAAGCCACUUGUGCAUUUUCUUUGUUUUUAAAAUGUUUUAAAAAUAAGUAAGAAUUAAAUUCCGUAAUUCCAAGUGAUGGAAUUUAUGGAAUUGAUUCAUGCAAAAAUGAAUUGGGUCUUGGUGGGGGCCCUACAUAUGAGAUUCCAUGAUUGAUUGAUUUAUUUGUCAUGCAUGAUUGAUUUACUCUAUUCCUUGAUAUGCGCUUAAUUAUAUAUGUUCAUUGUUCACUAACCAUGUUUCAUGAUAGCGCAUUCGUGAUUGCCGCCCAGGUACGCAUCUAUUCAUAUUUUGCUCAUUCUUUAUACAUGCUUUGUCUCUCAUAUGUGCAUGAUUGAUUCGAGUAUUCAUUGAUUUUCUCAUUGAUUGUCAUGUCAGCUUCAUCUCAUUAGUAGAGACCCGACUUUAGGGACUUAGAGGGGUGCUACGGUCCAUACCGUACCUUCCCAAUAAGUAACCUGACCCCUGAACCCGAUCCGAUUUUUCACAGACCACCUUUUCCAAAAUAAGGAGUCACACUUAGGGUUUUUCUUUCUUAUUUUGUUUACCCUUUAAAAAUAAAACAAAAAUAAGUGGCGACUCCAAGUCAUUUUCAAAUAAUCAAUAAAAAUCAUUUUUCAAAUAAAAAUCGAGCUCGUCAUCGAGUGGGAAACGCAUUGAGCCGAAAUGCGGGGUCCACAAAGUGAUCUUGAAAAUUAUAAGUUAAUUAUGUUUACUUGAAUAAGAGAUUUGAAUAAUCUUGUAAAAAGAUGAUGUUUGUCGUUUAAGUGGAAGGUUGAUUUAGAAAUUAUCAUACAGGGAAAUGGAAAAAAAUACUAUUAUUUUGGUACAAGACCAUAUUAUUCAGUGGUGUCUCUAGAAAGUUCCAUUAGAUGCUAUUAAACAAUUAAUUUGGUGUCUCACUUGCAUAAUUUUGAGUUAUUGGAUUUUGGGUUUUGCAGACUCUAAUCUCCGGAGGUAACGACACAACUGUUGUCUCUCUGACAUGGGCACUCUCUCUUGUACUAAACAACCAUGACACCUUAAAAAAAGCUCAACAAGAAUUAGACAUCCAAGUUGGGAAGGAAAGAUUAGUGAAUGAACAAGAUAUAGGUAAGUUGGUCUAUCUCCAAGCCAUUGUUAAAGAGACAUUACGGUUAUAUCCAUCAGGACCACUUGGAGGACUACGCCAAUUUACCGAGGAUUGCACCUUAGGUGGAUACCAUGUCUCUAAAGGCACCCGUUUAAUAAUGAACCUUUCGAAGAUCCAAAAGGAUCCAAGAAUUUGGUCAAAUCCAACAGAAUUCCAACCAGAGAGGUUUCUCACCACCCAUAAAGAUGUUGAUCCUUGGGGAAAACAUUUUGAAUUUAUACCAUUUGGAGCUAGUCGAAGAGUAUGUCCAGGAAUAACUUUUGGUCUUCAAAUAUUACAUUUAACAUUAGCUAGUUUCUUACAUGCGUUUGAAUUUUCAACUCCAUCAAAUGAAUAGGUCGAUAUGCGCGAGAGCCUUGGACUUACAAACAUGAAAUCUACCCCACUUGAAGUUCUCAUUUCUCCACGCUUAUCUUCUUGUAGUCUUUACAAUUAAAACAUUGAAACGAAUAGGUCAAGUCGGUCUUGCUAGUCUUGGUUUAAAGACAUAUGGAGUUAGGUUCAAUCAAUCUAUGACAAGAUUUGGGAUUGUAUUAAAAGUAGGUUGGACUAAGAAUGAUGUAUAAUAAACUAAAGUACUAUUUAUGUCAAUAAAGUAUAGCUUUAUAUAUUAUUUGGUUAUCCUUGCUCUCCGUCUAGGCUCUCAUGGGUGCAAGGCCUACCCAUGAGGCCCUUUUCUCCAAAUUUGAGUCAAGUGGCUAAGGGGCUUACAACUAGCUUCUUUGCCAUAGACAAAUUUUCUUUUGUUUAUAUGUUUUAAUUGAUGCAUAUUCACUUUCUUCUUUUCUUAAUUAAAUUGCAAUAAUUAAACAUACAAUUUAAAUAAAUUUUAAAUUUUAUUUUUAACUAAAAACAAAAGUAUACAGAUACAAAUAUAUACUGCUUAAGUAAUUAAUUUUUAAAAAUUAUCCUUUGAGAACAUCUCAGACAAACUGAGACAUGCUUCCAGAGAAAUCUAAAUGUAAUGUUUUUAAAAGCUACUUUGUAAUUUUAUUUUCGAGCAUGUUGCAUAAUAUAUACUUUCCUUGAAUUGAUUUUCCAAACUAUAUUUUUAUUAGCAAUAAGGGUUAUCUACGUUUUGGAAAUUAUAAGUUAAUUAUGUUCACUUGAAUAAGAGAUUUGAACAAUCUUGUAAAAAGAUGAUAUAUAUAUAUAUAUAUAUAUAUAUAUAUAUAUAUAUAUAUAUAUAUAUAUAUAUAUAUAUAUAUAUAUAUAUAUAUAUAUAUCGUAUGGCUGAUUUGGAAAUUAUCCAAAAUGGAAAAAAAUACUAUUAUUUUGGUACAAGACCAUAUUGUUCAAUAGUGUCUCUAGAGAGUUCCAUUAGAUGCUAUCAAACAAAUAAUUUGGUGUCUCACUUGCAUAAUUUUGAAUUGUUCGAUUUUGGGUUUUGCAGGCUCUAAUUGUCGGAGGUAACAAUACAACUGUUGUCUCUUUAACAUGGGCACUCUCUCUUUUACUAAACGUACAACCACGACAUCUUAAAAAAGGCUCAAGAAGAAUUAGAUAUCCAAGUUAGCAGGGAAAGAUUAAUGAAUGAACAAGAUAUAAGUAAGUUGGUCUAUUUUCAAGCCAUUGUUAAAGAGACAUUACGGUUAUAUCCACCAAGACUACUUGGUGGACUAUGCCAAUUUACUAAGGAUUGCACCUUGGGUGGAUACCAUGUCUCUAAAGGCACCCGUUUAAUAAUGAACCUUUCAAAGAUCUAAAAGGAUCCAAGAAUUUGGUCAGAUCCAAUAGAAUUCCAACCAGAGAGGUUUCUCAUCACCCAUAAGAAUGUUGAUGAUUGGGGAAAACAUUUUGAAUUUAUUUCAUUUGGAGCUGGUCGAAGAGCAUGUUUAGGAAUUGCUUUUGGUCUUCAAAUAUUAUAUUUAACAUUAGCUAGUUUCUUACAUGCAUUUGACUUUUCAACUCCAUCAAAUGAACAUGUUGACAUGCAAGAGGCCUUAGACUUACAAAUAUGAAAUCUACCUCACUUGAAGUUCUCAUUUCUCCGGACUUAUUUUCUUGUAGUCUUUACAACUAAAACAUUGAAAUGAAGAGGUCAAAGUCGACCUAGCUAGUCUUGGUUUAAAGACAUAUAGAGUUAGAUUCAAUCAAUCUAUGAUAAGAUUUGGGACUGUAUUAAACAUAGGUUGGACUAAAAAUGAUGUACAAUAAACUAAUUAAAGUAUUGUCCAUGCCAAUAAAGUAUAACAUUAUAUAUUAUUUGGUUAGCCUUAAGGAAUGUAGCAUCAUAAUUAUUUCUUUGUUUUGUCUAAUUUAUCACCAUUUUUUCCCCUUCUCUUCUUCCCUUCUCUUCAUUAGAACAAAUAAUAUAUAGUCUUUUUAUUUUUAAAAAUCAAAUUCGAUUCCCAGUUAUAUAAGAAUUUUACUUUUACUUUAUAAUAAACUUUACUUUAAUCUUAAUAACUUUGACCAUGAUCUCCAUCAUUGAUUAAAUAUAGGGAUAAUUUCAAUCAUUUUUUCUAAGAUUGGAGUUAAAUUUACCCAUCCAUUAUUAAUUUGAAAUUUUAUUAAAUAUUUUUUUUUUCCUUUUUUUUUACAUGUAUAUCUUUUAAUUUAAAAUAAUAGUUGUCCGAUAUAUUUAUAUGAAAUUAUUUUCGAAGAGGUGAAUGAAACUAAACUUUUUUUUAAAUAUAAAAUCAUAAAAAUUUAAUAUACGCCAGCACGAUCCGGUCUAAAUAUUAUAUAUAAUUUGUGUCAUUUCAAAAAAUCAUAGAAGAUCCUUUUGGCAAGGUGGCCCCUUUGAGUAGGAAUUCUCUAAUUGGUCACUACAUAUUACAUAAUUUCAAAGAUUAUGGAGGAUCAUUUACCAAUCAUUAUCAGAAGAAGUGCUGAUUCCUGUAUAAAACUAACCAAUACGAUAUUUAGCACAUGCAAACAGAUUUGGAAGGAUCUGAAAGUCAAGCCUACGGGCCAUCCCUUUACGGCUUGUUCGAAAAAGCACAAAUUGAUGGGGUGCCACUUGCCAGCAGUCUGUUUCAAUAUCUAAAUGUUACCCAGUGGGAUUGCUUGAUAUACUUUUUGUCUCCUAGCUACCAUCUAUUAUUAUGGAGCUCCAGAGCUGGUAAGAUAAGAAUACACCCAAAAGCUGCUGGUGCAUGGCCAAUAAUCGGUCACCUCCUCUUAGGGUCACAACUUCCUGGGAUUUUUUUUUAUAAAAUUACGGUAAAUUUAAAAUUAAUUUUUUAAAAUGCGGCAUAUUGAAAAUAUGCUUGAAUAAUAAUAAUAAAAUGACAAAUAAUAAAAAGGAAAGAAAGUUGUCUUGUGGCUAUAAGAAAGAAUAAUAUAAAAGAGAGAGAUGAGGAGAGGCGGAUAGAGAGAAGAGUAGGCCGAAAAAAAAAAAAAAAAAGAGGAGAACGGGGAGGUGCUGCAAAUCUUUGGGCGUUCGAUCGUAUGACGAGCAAAACGACUUAUGUUUUGCAUGAAAGUUAAGGAGAAAAUUUUCUUUGAGGCGAGGAACAUUCCUUCAAAGUUCGAUUUUAGUUUCAAUGAUUGGAUUUUUUUAUUUGUGGUAAGAUAGUUUAAUCCUACAACUUUUGUUUAAUAUUUUGUUCUUGAAAAAAUAUUAUGAAUUUUUUUAGUGGAAGAUAAAUAUGUGUUAUUUGUGUUUUCUUUAUGUUAUUUGAAGUAUGAUUAUUCUUAAGGUUAUUAUUAUUAUUAUUGUUUUAUGAUUUACAUAUUAUUAUGAUUUUAUUUUUAAAAUUUUUAUGUUUGCAAUGAUUUAAUUGAAGAAAAACUGUUGUGUUGAUUGUUGAAAAUUAUUUAGUAUGUUGGGAAUAAAUAAAAUUUAUAUGAUUAGGGUUGAGACUAUGUUUUGAUGAUAUGUAAAUUAUUGUGAAUAUAUAUAUAUUUUAUAUUUGUAGUGAUUUAAUUGAAGAAAAAUUGUUGUGUUGUAAUUGGAAUUAUUGAUCAUGUUUGGAGUAAAUAAAAAUUAUGUCCUAGAAAAUUAUGCAUAAUAACAUGCAAGUUUAUUAUAUUUCAUAUGCAUCAUGGUUAUGUGAAAAAAAAAAUUGAUGAAAGAUUUUAUAAAAUGAAAAAGGAAAAAGAAAAUAAUGAUGAAAAGUAAAAACCUGUGAAAGAUAAAUCAAGAAGGAAAUGAGAUUUCUAGUGUAAAAAAUACAAAAAUUUAUCCCGUGAGUGUAUUUGAUAUAGAUGCAUAUCAUUAAGUGAAAACCCAAAAACAAUAGUUGAAUGUAAGCAUUUGCACCAUGUUUUCAUUUGGAAGAAGGACAUGUAUUAAAUACUUGAAUGACAUCAAUGGUAUGUUUAAAUAUAUUAUUAGAGAUUGAAAUAAUUUAUUUAUUUUGUAAGUUUAGAAUUAUUGGAUAAACCGCUAUUGACGAUUGGACCGAUGAAUGGGGCGGUUUUUCAUGAACUGCAUGGCUAAAUUCCAGCUCCAGUCUUCCUCCCAUUUUUCCUUUCAUCCAAAUAGUCCAACCUCCCCCUCCUCUUUUUCAUAGGGUCCAAGUGAAAGCCCAAUAAGCCCAGCCUUACAUUUUAAUGGCUUUUUGGCAAAACCUAAACCCAUUUAAACCCAUGGGUGGUACCUUUUUGGCAUGUACUAAUUUGAGUUAUAUGAAUUUUUGUAAUUUAAAUUAUAAUUUGUUAUUUUGUAAAAUAUUUUUUACUUAGAUUUAUGUAGAUAUUUGGGUUAAUUUGGGAUUAUAUAUUGAUCUAUUCAACUGAAAUCAUUGACCGUCAAAUUGGAUAGGAAUAACAUUUAAGGUCAACCCUUUGACCUGAUAUCACUAAUCGGAUUCUGAGUUGCCUUGAAUAGGGUGUGACUAUAAUGGAUUUUCUUCUCCAAUGCCUAAACCCUGUCAUGGUUGGAGCGUUUGCAAUACUCGUCCUCUCAUACCACCUGUUAUUAUGGAGGACUGGAGCUGGUAAGAGCAGAAUGGCACCUGAAGCUUCUGGUGCAUGGCCCAUAAUAGGUCACCUGCACCUGUUAGGUGGAUCUAAGAAUUUGCCUCACUUACUUUUUGGAACCAUGGCCGACAAGUAUGGACCAGUAUUCAGCAUCCGGCUGGGAUUAAAAAGAGCUGUGGUGGUGAAUAGUUGGGAGAUGGCCAAGGAAUGCUUCACCACCCAUGACCUGGCUCUGGCCUCCCGUCCUGAGGUUGAGGCCGCCAAAUAUUUGGGAUAUAACUAUGCCAUGUUUGCUUUCUCUCCUCACGGUGCAUACUGGCGUGAAGUGCGUAAGAUAGCUACUCUAGAGCUACUCUCGAAUCGCCGGCUAGAAUUGCUGAAGAAUGUCCGAAUCUCAGAGGUGGAGACAUGCAUGAAGGAACUAUACAAGCUUUGGGCAGAGAAGAAAAACGAAGCGGGCGUUGUUUUGGUGGACAUGAAGGAAUGGUUUGGGCACUUGACUCUGAACGUGAUUCUUAUGAUGGUUGCUGGAAAACGAUAUUUCGGUUAUACAGGCGAAAGUAAAGAGAAAGAGGCCCAGCAGUGCCGGAAAGCGAUUAGGGAAUUCUUUCGUUUGUGGGGACUCUUUGUGGUGUCAGAUGCCAUUCCUUUUUUUGGAUGGCUUGACGUGGGUGGACAUCUGAAAGCCAUGAAGAAGACUGCAAAAGAACUGGACGGUAUUGCUCAGGAAUGGUUAGAGGAACACCGGCAGCGAAAAGAUUCUGGUGAAGCUGAUGGUAACCAGGACUUCAUGGACGUGACGCUGUCCAUUCUGGGUGGUAGAGACAUUACUGAUUAUGAUGCUGAUACCAUCAACAAAGCUACAGCCCUGGUAUGCACAUUAUUCCUUUAGCAUCUUUAUAUGGUAGUAAAAAAUGAGACAUAAUUUCAUGCUUUAUCAUCUUUAGUCCAGACUCAAGAGUACUUGGGCCUGGGUUGGAAGAACUUAUUUUUGCUUUGUUUCAAGUCGAAACUAAUCAAAAGCAGCGAUUUUUAAAAGGUAAUUAUAAUAAUGGUAUUAUAAAAGUUCAAACAUAAAAUAACUUUUUGCAUAAAUCAAAAUAGAAUUUUUAUAUAUACAUAUAAAAUGUUUUUCUGAUCUUCAUAUUAAUUUUUUUAAGUCAUAACUUUUUUGAACAAAAUUAGUCAAACCAUAGAACUCUUGAACUUACAAAAAAGGGCUUUCGAUUUCUUAGAAGUAGAUACAUGUAGAUUAUGAAAGUAUGUUCCUUAGUCCGCAUGGUUUGAGGCCUCUUUGAGUGGGCUUCUAGAGUCGGUUAGACAAUUGGGCCUUUCAAAGGAUUUCCUAAAUUUACAUUUUUUUUAGCCCAACUUGAAUUUUUAUAAAAUGCUAUAUUUAUACGCGAGUUUCAUAUUCAAGCUAAACAUACCCAUUUUGAUUGGAAAAAAAAGGAAAGAAAAUGGGGCCUUUUUUCCACCCUUAAUCCUAUCACUACUUUUAAUUUUAUUUUAUUAGUUAAUGGUUUGUAUUUCACAGAUUCUGAUUGGAGGAGGCACUGACACUACAUCUGCUACUUUAACAUGGGUCAUCUCACUUUUAUUAAACAAUCCAGAUGUAUUAAGAAAAGCCCAAGAAGAAUUGGAUGCUCAUGUUGGUAAAGAAAGACUAGUAAAUGAAAUGGAUAUAAGCAAGUUGGUCUACCUUCAAGCAAUUGUUAAAGAGACAUUGAGGAUAAAUCCAACAGCUCCACUUUCAGGACCGCGUCAAUUCAUCCAAGAUUCUAUUUUAGGGGGUUACCAUAUCUCAAAAGGCACUCGUCUUAUAUUGAACCUUACCAAGAUCCAAAGAGACCCAAGAGUAUGGUUGAAUCCAAUGGAGUUCCAACCAGAUAGAUUCCUCACCACCCAUAAAGAUGUUGAUGUUAGAGGUAAACAAUUUGAGUUGACACCAUUUGGAGGUGGAAGAAGAAUUUGCCCUGGAGCAGUUUUUGCCCUUCAAGUGCUACACUUAACAUUAGCCAACUUCCUGCAUAGAUUUCAACUUUCAACUCCAUCAGAUGCACCGGUUGAUAUGAGCGAGAGUUUUGGAUUAACAAACAUCAAAUCCACUCCACUUGAAGUUCUUAUCUCCCCACGCUUGGCUUCUUAUGAUCUUUAUGAGUAGAACUUGAGGUCGCUAAGAGACUUAUUUCAAAAAACCUAGUGCUAUGAAAUGUGAAAUAAAAAUAAAUUUCACACAUGUAGCAUAAGUUUAGUAUUAUUUUCAAGCAGUUACUCAUGUGUGUCCUUUAAUAUUGUCUUAGCUUGAAUUUAAUGAAAAAUAUUUUCGACACCUUUUUCGUGUGGACAAGUAAUGACCCAAUUUCUUGUUAUGUUUCUUCAUUCUUUCAUGAAAGAGAAUUUAGAAGAACAAGUGACAUAUAGCAUUACAAUUGAAAAAUUAAUAAGUAUGUGCUCCACCAUAUGCAUAUAUAUAUGCAUAGUAGACUUGAUGAGUUUCCAAGUUGAUUAAUUGGUAUCUCCUUUUGAUAGAUUUCAGCCACCUUUUUGUACAUGAUUAAAGUAGUAAUGGAAACUAAAAUUACAACUCCCAUUUCAUUGUAAAAAGUUGGGAUGUGCAAGGUGGGUCAGUUCAAUUUUGGGCAUUAAAAUCAAAUCGAAUUGAACCCAAAAGAGGAAAAUGAUUAGUUUGACUUGAUUAACAAUAAUCUAAGUUGGUUCAUUUUGCUUCUAUUUAUAACAUCAAUUUUUUUUUAUAAUUUGAACAAAAAUAAUAUUAUUGAAGCAAGUCAUCUUUGGACGGUUGAAAUGAUAUUAUUACCACUAAUUUCAAAUCAUAUUAUUAUAACUUAAUGACGUGAAUAGGUAUUAUUGUAACCCAUGUCAAUCAUAUCAAAUAGUCCAAGUCAGAUAAAAGUUAUAAAGGUGUGAUUGGGAGUUCCAUCCAAUGUGAAAAAUGUAUACCAAAUUAAUGAUGUAACCAAUUGUUAUACUGUAUAUUAUUACUGUGUGUAUAACUUUCAAUUCAAUUCAGUUUGGUUCAUUAAUUUUUUUAAUAGGUAAUUGAAUUGGUAUAACUGAGUUAUAUAUUUUAAAAACCAAAUUUAUUAAAAAAAUAAAAUCUUAAAAAAUUAAUAGAUUUGGGUCAAUUCCAUUGAUUUUGCCAAUUGUACACCCUAAAAGAAGGGAUGUCCACUUAUCAUUCAUAAACUUUGUGUACUCCUAAGUUACAAUUUUGUCCCAUGUGAUUCACAUUUGUACUUAUUAUUCUCAAUUUUUUGUACAAAUGAUUUAUUAUUUUACAGAAUUUUACUCCAUGAGAUUCACAUUUGUACUUAUUAUUAUCAACUUUGUCUGCUCUUAAGUUACAAUUUCUCCUAAUUAGAUUCACAUGCGUUAUUGCCAUAAUUGAAUUUCCACAUUUAUGCAUGAAUUAUUAUGUUAAUAGAUACAUUAUCAUUUUGUCAAGUUAAUCUGACUCAGGUUAAUCACCAAAGACAAGGUGAAUUAAUUGACUCAAUUUUAAUAAAUUUUAAUUUAAAUGAGUGCAAGUAAUAAUAAUACAAAAAAAAUUAAAUAAAAAGAAGAGAUAACAGGUACAAACUCCAAUUUAUAUAUUUUGCUCAAUCCUAUACUCUCCUCAAGCUCUCAAAUGCAAAUUGAGGGUUCCACUAGCUUUUAAGACUUCAAUCAAACCUUAAUCCUUUACACUUGGAUUCUCAAUUUCAAUGACCUUUUUACACUUUAAUUCAAGAAAUUCCUCACUCUUGAACAUACUCAAAGGUAACACUUAAACAACAUUGAUCUCACAAAAUUUAUUUACAGAUAAUAUAAAUGAAAACUUAAAUGGUUUUUCUUGGCUAGGAUUUCUAAGUUAAUAAGGAUUUUUACAUUAAAAAGAAAGAGUUAAGAUCAACUGGGUUUUGUAAGAUUUUGAUAUAUAUCUUAGUUUGUGAGUUUUUUGGGAUUCUAUUGUAAUCUUAUUGUUUUAUCCUAAAAUUGUCAAAAAAAGAAAUCAGUAAUUUAGUAUGGCAAUUUUACUCCAAAGAUUAUUGAUUAAAAAUUAUUUUACUAAUACCAACGUGUAAGAGUUAAAGGCAUAAAAUUGAAAUUAAAGUAAGUUUAUUAUUUUGGAUUUGGUUAAGUAAUGACAAGAUUAAUAAUUGAACUUAAUGUAAAAAGAAGUGUAAAAACUUUAAAAGUUUAAAAUAUCAUUUCAUUAUUAGUUUCCACUUGCCAACAUAGAUUUCUCAUUCUAUUCUAACAAGUUUUUUGUACUUUUAUAUAUAUAUUUCAUAAACUUAACAAAGGAUACAAACAGCAAAAGAAAAAAAAAUAAUUGAGCUACUAAACCUCAAUAUAAAUUUGGGGUGAAUUGUCAAGGAGCAGGGGGAAGUACUGUAUCACAGAUCAAUGUGAAGAUGUAUAUAUAUUUAUAGUAUAGAACCUAAGAGGUGAACGUUUCUUUCUAAGUUAGGUAAACAUUUCUGUCAAAGUUGAUGAAAUUUUACUAUAAUUUAUAUACACAUGCUUUCAGUGUGCAUAUAGGUUGAAAUAAUAUGUGGAGAUGAUUUUUAUAUGUGAUUUAAUAUUGUUUUGGAUUAUUGAUUAUGACUAUAAAUUAUCAUGCAUGGAACUAAUCAAAAUGAUAUAAUUAAAUUAUAUUAAUGAAUUUGAGAUAGACAUGGCAAUUAUUAAUUUGAAAUAUCUUAUAUGAACAUAAAAUUUUAAAUAUAGACUCAUAAUUUAUAUUAAAAUAAUAAAAUUAAAAAAGUACGUUUAUCUCAAAUUUAUGCCUAGGGCCCAAAUUUUGCUGAGAGCCAGCCGGAUGUCAUCACAUGCAAGAAAGCUAGGAAACAAAGCUGAAGUUUGCUUCUUGUGUGGGAAGAGGUACUUCCGUGCUUGACUGAAAGAAAGGAUUUUCUACAAGAAAAAUUGUCCCCUUGUUUGUAAAGCCUCAAGUUGCGACAGCAAUAACGACAAAAGUAGGCCAAAGAAUUUGUCAUUAUUAUGAGACUAGAGAGGUUUUACUGAGAAGUUUUCCGAGCGUGAUAUCAGCAUUCGCUGUAUCACAGUGAUACAACAAAUGGUUUGAACACAGUGAUCUAGAACCCAUUAGCUCAAAUUUCAUUGAUCUGAACACGAUGAUCCUCAUCCGCAGACCAUUUUAGGGAAUGAUUAAUUCUAGCGAUUUUUUAACUGCCUGUACGAAGAACUUUAUCAAAAUUGGAUUCAGUGUAUCUUAACCAAUCUUGAUCAGUAUGCGACUGAUGAUUCUAUUUGAUAAAAGUAAUGCGGUGGCCCAACUUUAUCUUAAUUUCCAUGUUGAAACUAACCAUUAUAUUAUUCUAUAAUUAUAAAUAUAUACUAUGGAAUUAAGAUAACUUUGACAUGCUAAGGAUCAAAAGAGGGCAGCCACUUUAGUUGUGGAUUAUACUAAAUAAAGCUGAUCGAUUAUUACAUUGGAAAAUAACAUUGAACCUAUCAUGAAAGACAACCCUACUGGACCAUGCCCUGAGUACUAAAUGCUGAUAAAAAACAAGUACAUGUUCCAAAGGAAUUGAGUCCAUAUAUACUCAUUAGUGCUCAAAGAGAAAAACUAUAUAUCCACCGCUUAACUACAGUGAUCCUUUGAGCAGAAGAAACUAGCCAUGUAUUUCCUUCUCCAAUACCUAAACAUCACCACGGUCGGAGUCUUUGCCACACUUUUCCUUUCCUACUGUCUAUUAUUAUGGAGGUCUAGAGCUGGUAACAAAAAAAUAGCACCUGAAGCUGCUGCUGCAUGGCCCAUAAUCGGUCACCUACACCUGUUAGCUGGUGGUUCUCAUCAGCUUCCCCACAUAACCUUGGGAAACAUGGCCGACAAAUAUGGACCGGUCUUCACAAUUCGGAUUGGGUUGCAUCGAGCUGUGGUGGUAAGUUCUUGGGAGAUGGCUAAAGAAUGCUCGACCGCCAAUGACCAGGUUUCAUCCUCGCGUCCCGAACUUUUAGCCUCAAAACUUUUGGGCUACAACUACGCCAUGUUUGGUUUCUCUCCAUACGGUUCUUACUGGCGUGAAAUGCGCAAGAUAAUCAGCCUAGAGCUACUCUCUAACAGCCGCUUAGAGCUGCUGAAGGACGUCCGAGCUUCAGAAGUGGUGACAUCCAUAAAAGAGCUAUACAAGCUCUGGGCAGAGAAAAAAAAUGAAUCGGGCCUUGUCUCGGUGGAGAUGAAGCAGUGGUUUGGAGACUUGACUCUGAACGUAAUUCUUAGGAUGGUGGCAGGGAAGCGUUAUUUCAGUGCUUCAGAUGCAAGUGAAAAUAAACAGGCGCAGAGGUGCCGGAGAGUGUUCAGGGAAUUCUUUCAUUUGUCAGGGCUCUUUGUGGUGGCGGACGCUAUUCCAUUUCUUGGAUGGCUCGACUGGGGGAGACAUGAGAAAACCCUAAAGAAGACAGCAAUAGAAAUGGACAGUAUUGCUCAAGAAUGGUUAGAGGAGCACCGUCGGAGGAAAGACUCCGGUGAUGAUAAUAGUACGCAAGACUUCAUGGAUGUGAUGCAGUCAGUUCUUGAUGGCAAAAACCUUGGUGGUUACGACGCUGAUACCAUCAAUAAAGCCACAUGCCUGGUAUGAGUUAUUAAUGAAACACCCACGUACCAUUUAUUUGCAUAUUAUCAGGGCUAGCUUCUUUUGCACAGACAGUUUUUCUUUUGUUUAUAUGUUUUAAUUGAUGCAUAUUCACUUUCUUCUUCUCUUAAUUAAAUUGUAAUAAUUAAACAUAAAAUUAAAUAAAUUUUAAAUUUUAUUUUUAACUAAAAAUAGAAGUAUACAUAUACAAAUAUAUACUGCUUAAGCAAUUAAUUUUUUAAAAUUAUUCUUUCAGAACACUUCAGACAAGCUGAGACAUGCUUCGAGGGAAAUUUAAAUAUAAUGAUUUUAAAAGCUACUUUGUAAUUUUAUUUUCGAGCAUGUUGCAUAAUAUAUGCUUUCCUUGAAUUGAUUUUCCAAAUUUUAUUUUUGUUAGCAAGAAAGGGUUAUCUACGUUUUGGAAGUUAUCUUUAAUUUCCCCUGUAAAGAAUAAGUGAUCUUGAAAAUUAUAAGCUAAUUAUGUUCAUUUGAAUAAGAGAUUUGAAUAAUCUUGUAAAAGAUGAUGUAUAUCGUUUAAGUGGAUGGUUGAUUUAGAAAUUAUCAUAAAGGGAAAUGGAAAAAAAUACUAUUAUUUUGGAACAAGACCAUAUUGUUCAUUGGUGUCUCUAGAAAGUUCCAUUAGAUGCUAUCAAACAAUUAAUUUGGUGUCUCAUUUGCAUAAUUUUGAGUUAUUGGAUUUUGGGUUUUGCAGACUCUAAUCUCCGGAGGUAGCGACACAACUGUUGUCUCUCUAACAUGGGCACUCUCUCUUGUACUAAACAACCGUGACACCUUAAAAAAAGCUCAAGAAGAAUUAGACAUCCAAGUUGGUAAGGAAAGAUUAGUGAAUGAACAAGAUAUAAGUAAGUUGGUCUAUCUCCAAGCCAUUGUUAAAGAGACAUUACGGUUAUAUCCACCAGGACCACUUGGAGGACUACGCCAAUUUACCGAGGAUUGCACCUUGGGUGGAUACCAUGUCUCUAAAGGCACCCGUUUAAUAAUGAACCUUUCGAAGAUCCAAAAGGAUCCAAGAAUUUGGUCAGAUCCGACAGAAUUCCAACCAGAGAGGUUUCUCACCACCCAUAAAGAUGUUGAUCCUCGGGGAAAACAUUUUGAGUUUAUACCAUUUGGAGCUGGUCGAAGAGCAUGUCCAGGAAUAACUUUUGGUCUUCAAGUAUUACAUUUAACAUUGGCUAGUUUCUUACAUGCGUUUGAAUUUUCAACUCCAUCAAAUGAACAGGUCAAUAUGCGCGAGAGCCUUGGACUUACAAAUAUGAAAUCUACCCCACUUGAAGUUCUCAUUUCUCCACGCUUAUCUUCUUGUAGUCUUUACAAUUAAAACAUUGAAACGAAGCGGUCAAGUCGGUCUUGCUAGUCUUGGUUUAAAGACAUAUAGAGUUAAGUUCAAUCAAUCUAUGACAAGAUUUGGGAUUGUAUUAAAAGUAGGUUGGACUAAGAAUGAUGUAUAAUAAACUAAAGUACUAUUUAUGUCAAUAAAGUAUAACUUUAUAUAUUAUUUGGUUACCCUUAUGGAAUGCAACAUCAUAAUUAUUUAUUUGUUUUGUCUAAUUCAUUCUACAUUUUUUUCCCCUCAUUUUCACCACAACAAAUAAUAUAUAGCAUUUUAUUUUUUGAAAUCAAAGUUAGUUCCGAGUUAUAUAAGAAUUUUACUAUUACUUUAUAAUAAACUUUAAUCUCAAUAAUUUUAACAUGUAAAUAUGAUCUUCAUCCUUAAUCAAAUAUAGGGAUAAUUUCAUUCAUCUUUUAGAAGAUUAGAGUUAAAUUUACCUAUCCAUCAUUAACUUGAAAUUUCACUAAAUAUAUUUUUUUUUCUUUUUCCUUUACUAUUUUUACUCAUCAUAUCUUUUAAUUUAAAAUAAAAAAUAUGUUUAAUAAAAUUUGGGAAUAAUGGUUAUUAGACAUAUUUACGUGAAAUUUUCGAUGAGGUGAAUGAAACUAAAGUUUUCUUUAAAUGUAAAAUCAUAAAAAUUUAGUAUCUGCCAGCAUGAUCCGGUCUAAAUAUUAUAUAUAAUUUGUGUCAUUUCAAAAAAUCAUAGAAGAUCCUUUUGGCAAAGUGGCUCCUUUGAGUUGGUAUUCUCUAAUUGUCACUACAUAUUAUAUAAUUUCAAAGAUCAUGGAGGAUCAUGUCGGCAAUCAUGAUCAGAAGAAGUUGCAGCUUCCUCUAUAAAAUACUAUAUAUACAUAAAAUUAAUCAAUGCAAUAUUUAGCAUAUGCAAGCAAAAUUGGACGGAUCAUGAAAGUAAACCUACGGGCCACCCCUUUACGACUUGUUCGAAAAAGCACUAACCCAGGGUGGUGCCACUUUCCAGCUGUCUUUUUCAAUAGCUAAAUGUUACCACGGUCGGAAUGCUUGGCAUACUCUCUCUCCCCACUAUCUAUUAUUAUGGAGAUCCAGAGCUGGUAAGAGAAGAAUAGAACCCGAAGCUGCUGGUGCAUGGUCAAUAAUCGGUCACCUCCUUUGGGUCACAACUUACUGAAAAACCGUCUGUCUAGUAGGUAAGAUUCAGAGGUGAAUACAUGUAUUUAAAAAGAUUAUAACAAAAAAAUUGAAUUGUUUUAACCUAAUGAAGAUAUAAAAGAUAAAUAAAAUAAUCAAAAUCAAACAAAUAAGUAAAGGACACAAAUUUUUAUAUGGAAAAUUUUCACAUUUACUAUAAAGAUAAAAAAACUACAAGAUAUAACAUCUUUAAUCUACUAUCUAUUGUUUGAAAUCAAAGUACGCAAAUUUACUUGCUCACGAUGCAACACCUUUCUCUUAGUCUCGUUGAAGAGAUGCAAGUCAAUACUAUGAAUUUUUUCUCAAGAAAUUGGAAAUGAUAGGGUAAGUUGUUGAUUCUCUUGUAGUGUCAAUAUAAAACAUAUUUAGGUAUGAUAUGUAAAAAAUAUUUACAUAAUCACAUAGAUUAAUGAUACAUGAUUAAAAGAUACUAACAAUAGGAAAUCACUAUAAAGAACAUACCUGUUUGAGUCAUGAUAAAAAAAACGUGAUUGAUUGUUGUAGUCAAGUCUUCCUCUCUAUGAUCUUGAUAAUAGAUAUGGUGGCUAUAUGGGAAAACAGAUAAACCCUAUUUAUCUACAUUAGAGAGGGGACCUAGCAUAACUCAAAUUGGAUUCUCAUUGGGCCCUCCCAUAAUGGGCUUCAAUGAGACCCAUAGCCUACACUUGCCACUCAACUGAGCUUCUACUCAAAAGAUGCAAAACCCAAUCUAAAAUGUGAUCACUAAUUAAUUGGGCUCAUUAUAGAAUAGACUAUCUAUUAACCCGUUUUUGCAAAUACAAAUUAUUCAAUUAAUGUUAGCCCAUAUAAAAAUUUUCCAACAUGAUAUAUAUAAGAGAAGAUCUACUAGAAUUGGUAUCAAUUAAAAAAUUAUAUUUUACUAAAAAUAAUUUAGAAACUUAAACUUUUAAAAAGAUUUGGAAUAGUUUUCUUUUUAAAAUUAUUAAUUUUAUAUUAUUUCCCAAUUUAUUUUUAUUAUUUGGAAAUGAAUUUUUAAAUUGAGAAUUUAAAAAAUCUUUUUAUUAUUUGGAAAGAUCUUUUAAAUUCUCAAUUUAAAAAUUCAUUUCCAAAUUAUUUUUAUUAUUUGAAUUUUUUUUUAAAUUCUUAAUUUAAAGUUCUUUUNNNNNNNNNNNNNNNNNNNNNNNNNNNNNNNNNNNNNNNNNNNNNNNNNNNNNNNNNNNNNNNNNNNNNNNNNNNNNNNNNNNNNNNNNNNNNNNNNNNNGUAAGUCAUCGUCUAAAAAGAUUUUUAAGUCAAAAUGAAAUUAAACAAAAUUGUUAACUAACAAAUUACAAGACUUACUAUCCCAACAUCCCCCAUAUAUACUUGGGAACCAUGGCAGACAUAUACAGACCGAUCUUCACGAUCCUGGUCGGGAAUGCAUCGAGCAUUGGUGGUGAGCAAUAAGGAGGUGGCCAAAGAAUGCCUCGCCAUCAAUGACUCAGCAGUGUCCGGCCAUCCCAAAUUGGUAGCCCCAAAACAUCUGGGUUACAACUAUGCCAUGUUGGCUUUAUAUAUAUAUAUAUAUAUAUAUAUAUAUCAAUAGAAAUACUUAAACAAAAUAAAUAUUUACAUGUGAGGAAAAAAUAUUUACUUAAAUUUCAGAGAAUUAAUAAUAAGGUUAUAUUUGGUUUCUAAAAAGUAUUAAAGAAAAAAAAUAUAAAAGAAAAUGAUUUUUUUAUGUUUGGUUUUAUUAUAAUUUUUUUAAUGAAAAUUAAAUAUAAUUAGAAAUUUAUACAUUUUAAAAUUAUUUAAUCUUUAUAUAAUUGAGGAAAUUAAGUGAAAUGAAUUUGAGGAAACAUAUAAAAAUAAUUUAUUAAUUUUGAAUAUAUAUAUAUAUAUAUAUAUAUUAUUUUUUUUCUUUUUUUUUGUUCCACUUUUCAUCUCUAUUUUCUUUUCCUCAAAAUUUUCAAGAAUCAAGCCAAAGUAUUUCUAUUUAAUUGUAAUAAAUACAUGAUAGUUUUUUUUUUUUUCACGAAUUGUAGAUACCAUUUAUGUGCACUUGUCAUAAAUUACUUUUACGAUAAUUUUAAUUAUCUAAAUUAUUAUAUCGUAAUGUAAUAAAAUAGUUCCUUUAUUUUUUAUAAAAAAUUUUUAUAUUUUAAUUUUAUAAUAAACAUACUCUUUCCUGCAUUUCUUGAAAUUUUUUUAUAUAUAAAUUAUGAAAACGUAAAUUAUGGUUGCUUUUUUUUUUUUUUUUUUGGUUUUAGAAAAAAUAAUGAAAAUGCAUUUCAUAGCUGUGGAUUUUGAUAAAUUGGAAAAAAAAAAAAAAAAAAAGAGAAAGGUGGAAAGAAUUUAAAAUGUGUAUUUUUAAAAUUUAUUAAGAAAUUUAACCUUCUUUUUUCGUGGAUAUGGGCGAUUAGGCCAAACCAUAUAAAUAUUUUGUCUUCUUUUUCAUUUAUUUUAUUUUUGUUGUUGCAUUUGAUAUUGCAAUUUCCCUCCUCCCCCCAACAAGUGGAAUUAAACUUGUGGUGGGAAGAUCAUGGGAAAAUUGAAAAGGAUGUCAAGCAUAAAAUAUGAUAUUAAAUCAUUUGAUGGAAAUAAUAAUAAUAAUAAUUUUAGCAUAUGGCAGAUGUUUUGGUAUAACAAAGACUUCUUAAAGUGUUAAAAAGGUAAGAAAGCAAAGAACAUGAUAGAAGAUGAUUUAUGGGAGAAGUUAUACACAAUUUAUAUGUCAACAUCCCAAGAAGAUGGAUGAAGGAUUAGAUGUUGAGGUCAUAUAAAUAAAUUUAUUAAGUAUAUACCCAGGUAUUAAGUGUAGAUAUUAAGAUGGAUAGAAAGAUCAAAUCAUUCUUUCAUUGGCUUUCUACCAAAAUCGUACGAGAUAGUAGUAACUGCACUUUUAGUUGGAAAGACAACUAUUACACACCCUAAAUACUAAAAUUAUGAUUUAAUUAUAAUAUCAAAUGAUUAAUUUAUAAUUUUAAAAUUUUAUAUAUAAAUUUAUGAAUAAAAUACAAUGUUUGAAAUAAAAAACUAAUUAUUUAAUUAUUUUCAAAUUCAUGAAUUUUAAUUCUAAUGUACAUAAUAACCGUAAUUUUUUUUAUAAAGUUGUUACUAAAUAUAUAUUUCCAAAUAGUAACAUAAUAACAUUUUAUUUUACAAUUUCUAAAUUUAAAAUUUUAUUUCUUUUAAAAGUUGAAAUAAUAUGGUCUAAUGAAUUGAGAGUUUUUAUAUAUGUCUUGUAUGUUGUUUAAGUUAUGUAAUUUCACCAUGUAAAAUAGACUAUUUUUAAAAGUUUUAAAAUUUAAGAUAAGAAAUAAUAGAUUUUGUUACUUUUCAUGUUGGUGAUACUCAAUUUUUUAGAUUUUUUAUUUUUGAUAAUUUUAUUUAGGUGAACUUUUUAAAAAAAAAAAAAAAGAAAAAAAAAAGAAAUUUAACUAAAGUUGUCAAUUUAUAAUUAAAAUUGGAAAAUCAAAUUUUGAUUUACCUAUAAUUAAAUUCUAAAAUAUUUUUAUUAGAUUCAAGGAGGGUAUUCCAUUAUUUAUAUUACAAACUUAAAGUUAAGCAGACAUUUACUUCAAUGUGCUAUACAAUAAAUAAAAUGAUGCAAAAUGGUGCACCACACCCAACUUGCGCACUUUAUGCACACCAUUCAAAUCGUGCAUCUCCAACAUACGACCUAAAUUGUGCACCUCUAAUGCAUCACUUGAAUUGUGUACUACUUAAAUUAUGCAUGUCUCCGGUUUAAAACACUUUGUGCAUCCCCAAUUAUGCACCUCCUUCUCUUUUAACACCUACUUAGAUUUGCAUAUUAUCAGGGCUAGCUUCUUUUCCAUAGACAGUUAUUCUUUUGUUUAUAUGUUUUAAUUGAUGCAUAUUCACUUUCUUCUUCUCUUAAUUAAAUUGCAAUAAUUAAACAUACAAUUUAAAUAAAUUUUAAAUUUUAUUUUUAACUAAAAACAAAAGUAUAUGUAUACAAAUAUAUACUGCUUAAACAAUUAAUUUUAAAAAAUUAUUCUUUGAAAACACCUCAGACAAACUAAGACAUGGUUCCAGAGAAAACUAAAUAUGAUGCUUUUAAUAGUUGCUUUGUAAUUUUAUUUUCAAGCAUGUUGCAUGAUAUAUACUUUCCUUGAAUUGAUCUUCCAAAUUUUAUUUUUGUCAACAAUAUACCUAUGUAAGAGAUGGUUAGUUUAGAAUUUUUCUCUUAAACCAUAGGGAAAAAUGGAAAAAGAAUACCAUUAUUUUCGUACAAGGUCAUAUAGUUUAACAAUGUUUGAAGAGGGUUUCAUUAUAUACUAUCAAACAAUUAAUUUGGUGUGGUCACUUACGUAUUUUUAAGUUGUUGUCUUCUUCAUUUUGUAGGCUCUAAUUGCAGGAGGUAGCGACACAAUAGUUGUCACUCUAACUUGGGUGCUCUCUCUCUUCUAUUAAACAACCAUGACACCUUAAAAAAAGCACAAGAAGAAUUGGAUACACAAGUUGGCAAGGAAUGAUUAGUGAAUGAACAAGAUAUCAGUAAAUUGUUCUAUCUCCAAGCCAUUGUUAAAGAGAUAUUAUAGUUAUAUCCACCACGACCACUUGCAGGGCCACGCCAAUUCACUGAGGACUGCACCUUGGAUGGUUACCAUGUCUCUAAAGGCACCCGAUUAAUAUUGAACAUUUCCAAAAUCCAAAAGGAUCCAAGAAUUUGGUCAAAUCCAAUAGAAUUCCAAUAAGAGAGGUUUCUCACCACCCAUACGGACCUUGAUCCUCGGGGAAAAUAUUUUGAAUUUAUACCCCCAUUUGGCGCCAAUAGAAAAGCAUGUCCUAGAAUGACUUUUGGUCUUCAAAUGCUACAUUUAACGUUGGCCAAUUUUUUACAAGUGUUUGACUUUUCAACUGCGUCAAAUGCACAUAUUGAUAUGCAUGAGAGUCUUGGACUUACAAACAUGAAAUCUACCCCACUUGAAGUACUCAUUUCCCUACACUUGUCUUCUUGUAAUCUUUACAACUAAAACAUUGAAACAAAAAGGUCAAAGUCGGCAUAGCUAGCUAGUCUUAGUUUGAAGACGUUAGCUUCAGUCAAUCUACAAUAAGAUUUAGAAGUGUAUUAAAAGUAGGUUGGACUUGAUACUUUUAAGGAAUGCGAUGCUAAUUCUAUUUGAAUGGGUAAUGAUUCAGACUCUAAAAUCAUUAGGAUUUAAAUCAUAAAGGUGAGGAUAUUUUAUGGUAUUAUAAGGAUGUUGAGUAAUGUUAAGCAUGUUCCCAAGUCGAGGAGGAGUUUAAAUUUCUUUAAGGGCUUUGGACACUUUGGGUUGUGAUUUUUUUGUGAAGCAUAGUAUUAUGGGUAUCAAUAAAGUGCUUUGACAACUAUGAAAAGGAAAAAAGUGAAAAAUUUAUACACCUUAAUCAAUAAGACAACUUAUAGGUGGAGUUCUAAAGGAGUCAUGUUAACAGAAAGAAGGAAUGACACGUAUUUAUUCUUCAUAAUUAUGUAUAAUUAAGAGAUUUGAGUCAAUGCAUGUGGAGAUUAUUGGUAUUUGAAUCUAAUUAUUUAUUUUUUAUUUUUGAAAAAGUCAAUAUUUAUAAAGUCUAUGUUUUACUAAAUUACCCUUUUGAAUUUGACUAAGAUCAGGAAACUAUUGAUUUAGGGUUAAUUCACAUGAUUUUACAAAUAUGUGGUUUUAAAUAAGAUUUAUACUAAAAAGGAAAAAAAAAAUAAGAAAAGAGGAAAACUUAAAUAGGUAAAUAGUCUAUUGAGUUUUGGAUGGAGAAAUGUUGAGAGAAUUUGAAGAUUUUCUUUGUGAAGCAUAUUAAUAAAUUUUAUCUUCCUUUCCCAGGUCUUUUCUAUUUAUUUUAUUUUUCCUGCUCAAUUUGAGUGUUUCAAUUUUUCCAGAACAUGGACAGUACAAAUGGCCAGAUGUUUCAUAUACGGUGCAUGUCAUAAAGUCGCCGCCUUCAGCUUGGCAAGAAAUCAAGCGAAACUGGACUUGAACUUGUCAUUCUUAAGGAAAUAAGCGCCAGCUAGGGUUCAAAUUUUAUGAUGUGAGCAUGCAACACUUAUCCCAAUCCACUGUUCUACUAAUAGGAUGUAGAAGACAACAAGCAAUUGUAGGAGCUUAUCUUUUUUUAUUUUUAUCAAGGUAGUUUCUGAAAGGAUGUGGAUCAACAUCGAUCUGUAGUGAUCCCUAGAAGGCUCCACUGUUCUAAUAAUAGGAUGUAGAAGACAGCAAGCAAUUGUAAGAGCUUAUCUUUUUUUCUUUUUUUUUUAUCAAGGCAGUUUCUGAAAGGAUGUGGAUCAACAUCGAUCUGUAGUGAUCCCUAGAAGGCUCCACUGUUCUAAUAAUAGGAUGUAGAAGACAGCAAGCAAUUGUAGGAGCUUAUCUUUUUUUUUUUUUUUUUUAUCAAGGCAGUUUCUGAAAAGAUGUGGAUCAACAUCGAUCUGUAGUGAUCCCUAGAAAGGCUGUUUUCUAAAUAUAGUAUUAUAAUAAAAAUAACGUUUGCCGAAAUUAAUAACGUUUGGAUAUGUUACAUGAGAGAAACAAACACGAGUACUCCUUGUAGUACAUGAGAAACCAUAUAUAUAUAUAUAUAUGCUUGAACGGGGGAGCUACCCACAGUUUAACCACAGUGAUCCAAUAACGACAUUCUGAGCUACAAUGGAUUUCCUUCUCCAAUGCCUAAACCCUGUCAUGGUUGGAGCGUUUGCAAUACUCGUCCUCUCAUACCACCUGUUAUUAUGGAGGUCUGGAGCUGGUAAGAGCAGAAUGGCACCUGAAGCUUCUGGUGCAUGGCCCAUAAUAGGUCACCUGCACCUGUUAGGUGGAUCUAAGAAUUUGCCUCACUUACUUUUUGGAACCAUGGCCGACAAGUAUGGACCAGUAUUCAGCAUCCGGCUGGGAUUAAAAAGAGCUGUGGUUGUGAGUAGUUGGGAAAUGGCCAAAGAAUGCUUCACCACCCAUGACCUGGCUCUGGCCUCCCGUCCUGAGCUUGUGGCCGCCAAAUAUUUGGGAUAUAACUAUGCCAUGUUUGCUUUCUCUCCUCACGGUGCAUACUGGCGUGAAGUGCGUAAGAUAGCCACUCUAGAGCUACUCUCGAACCGCCGGCUAGAGUUGCUGAAGAAUGUCCGAAUCUCAGAGGUGGAGACAUGCAUGAAGGAACUAUACAAGCUUUGGGCAGAGAAGAAAAGCGAAGCAGGCGUUGUUUUGGUGGACAUGAAGCAAUGGUUUGGGCACUUGUCUCUGAACGUGAUUCUUAAGAUGGUUGUUGGAAAACGAUAUUUCGGUUAUGCAGCCGAAAGUAAAGAGAAAGAGGCCCAGCAGUGCCAGAAGGCGAUUAGGGAAUUCUUUCGUUUGUUGGGACUCUUUGUGGUGUCGGAUGCCCUUCCUUUUCUUGGAUGGCUUGACGUGGGUGGACAUGUGAAAGCCAUGAAGAAGACUGCAAAAGAAUUGGACGGUAUUGCUCAGGAAUGGUUAGAGGAACACCGACGGCGAAAAGAUUCGGGUGAAGCUGAUGGUGACCAGGACUUCAUGGACGUGAUGCUGUCCAUUCUGGGUGCCACAGACCCUAAUGGCUAUGAUGCUGAUACCAUCAACAAAGCCACAUCCCUGGUAUGCACAUUAUUCCUUGAGUAUCUUUACUGCUUGUAAAAAAAAGAAGCCAUAUUUUCAUGCUUUAUCAUCUUUAAUCCAGAUUCGAGUACUUAAGGCCUUGGUUGGAAUAGCUUCCUAUUUUUGCUUUAGUUGCAAGUUGAAACUAAUCAAAAGUCACAAUUUUUAAAAGGUAAUUAUAAUAAUGGUAUUAUAAAAGUUCAAACAUAAAAUAACUUUUUGCAUGCGAGAAAAAUAGAGUUAAAAAAAAAAAAACAAUAUUCUCAUGAUUUUCAUAUUAAAUUUUAAAAAAAUUGUAAACUUUUAGAUAAAAAUUAGACAAAUUUAUCAUAGAAACUCGUACUAAACUUAAGAAAAAAAAAGCCUUCUUUUUCUAAGAAAUUGAUACAUAUAGACUUUUAUUAUAUGUUGGUUUUUGUCAAAAGAGUAACAUGAGCAGCUUAGAAAAGCAAUUAGAAUGAAGUACAAUUGGGCUGAGAAUCUGAGUAUAACUAGAAUUUUGUAGAACCUCUCAUGCUAGGAUAAUUGGGCUGGACUGGUAAUGAUACAAUUCUACGUUGGAGUUGGGUGGCCCAAAAAGAUUAUGCUGUUAUAAUAGCUGGUUCUCUCAUUUAGGAAGAGGCAGCCCAAUUUGCAUCCCUGAACGAUGCACCGCUCGGUGGCUGGGACCAUGGAAAAUUUUCUUGUUAGAAAGAUCAUGAAAUUAUGGUCCUUAGUUUGAGGCCUCUUUGAUUGGGCUUCUUGAGUUAGUUAAGGCAAUUGGGCCUUUCAAAGGAUUUCCUUAGUAAAUUUACAUGUUUUUUUUUUUUUUUGUAUUUUUGUAAAAUGCUAAAUUUAUAAGUGAGUUUCAAAUUCAAGCUAAACAUAUCAAUUUUGAUUGAAAAAAAGAAAGAAAGAAAGAAAACAUAAGUCUUUUUCCACCCUUAAUCAUGUCACUACUUUUAAUUUUAUUAACAUUUAUUAAUUGUUUAUAUUUCACAGAUUUUGAUUGCAGGAGGCACCGACACUACAUCUGUUACUCUAACAUGGGCAAUCUCAUUAUUAUUGAACAAUCCACAUGUGUUAAGAAAAGCUCAAGAAGAAUUGGACACUCAUGUUGGAAAAGAGAGACUAGUAAAUGAAAUGGAUAUAAGCAAGUUGGUCUACCUUCAAGCAAUCGUUAAAGAGACAUUGAGGUUAUAUCCAGCAGCCCCACUUUCAGGACAACGUCAAUUUAUCCAAGAUUCCGUAUUAGGCGGUUACCAUAUCCCAAAAGGCACUCGUCUUCUAUUGAACCUCACCAAGAUCCAAAGAGACCCAAGAGUAUGGUUGAACCCAACAAAGUUCCAACCAAGUAGAUUCCUCACCACCUACAAAGAUGUUGAUGUUAAGGGUAAACAUUUUGUGUUGACACCAUUUGGUGGUGGACGAAGAAUUUGCCCUGGAGCAGCUUUUGCCCUUCAAGUGUUACCUUUAACACUAGCCAACUUCCUACAUAAAUUUCAACUUUCAACUCCAUCAAAUUCACCCAUUGAUAUGAGCGAGAGUUUUGGAAUAACAAACAUCAAAUCCACUCCACUUGAAGUUCUCAUCUCCCCACGCUUAGCUUCUUAUAAUCUUUAUAAGUAGAACUUAAGGUCACUGAGAGAGACUAUUUAAAAGAACCUAGUGCUAUGCAAUGAAAAAUAAAAAUAAAUUUUAUAUAUGUGGCAAAAGUUUAGUAUUAUUUUAAAACAGUUACUAAUGUGUGUAUUGCUUUAAUAUUGUCUUAGCCCGAAUUUAAUGAAAAAUAUUUUCAGCACCUUUUUCGUGAGGACAAAUUAUGACCCAAUUUCUUGUUAUGUUUUUUCCUAAUGAGUUUCCAAGUUGAUUAAUUGGUCUCUCUUUUUUGAUAUAUUUCAGCUACCUUUUUGUACAUCAUUAAAGUAGUAAAUAUAUAGAGACCAAAAUUACGACUUCUCCGAUUUCAUUGUAAAAAGUUGGGAUGUGCAAGGUGGGUCGAUUCAACUUUGAGUAUUAAAAUCAAAUCGAAUUGAUCUAAUUAGUUUGUAUAUAUACACUGAAGAAUUGAUUUAAUUGAACUUAAAGGAGAAAAAUGAUUAGUUUGACUUGAUUAACAAUAAUCUAUAUAAGUUGGUUUAUUUUGCUUCAGUUUAUAACAUCAAAAAUCAACUUUUUUGUUUUGCUAAUUUGGACUAAAAUAAAAAAGCCCGUGAUUAGACAUUGUUGAUCAAAUGAUAUUAUUACAACUAAUUUCAGGUCAUAUUAUUAUAACUUAAUUACAAGAAUAGAUAUUAUUAAUUAUAACCCAUGUCAAUCAUAUUAAGUAGACCAGUCAUAGAUAAAGUUAUAAAGGUAUGAUUUGAGGAUCAUGGAAUGAGAAAAAUGUAUACCAAUUAAUAAUGGAACCAAUAGUUAUAUUGCACAUUAUUAGUAUGUGCAUGUACGUACAACUUUCAAUUCAAUUCAGUUUGGUUUAUUAAUUUUCUAAAUAGGUAAUCGAAUUGGUAUAAUUUAGUUUUAUAUUUAAAAAACCAAAAUUAUUUAAAAAAUAUUUGAUUUGGGUAAGUUGGAUUGAUUUUAUCAAUUGUACACCCUAAAACUAAAGGGGUGUCCAUUUAUCUAGUUACAAUUUUGCCCCAGUUGAUUCACAUUUUUACUUAUUAUUAUCCACUUUGUUUACGCAUGAAUUAUAAUUUUGCAGAAUUUUGCUUUAUGAGAUUCAUAUUUGUACUUAUUAUUGUCAACUUUGUAUGCUCAAAAGUUACAAUUUCCCCUCAUCAUGAGAUUCACAUGUGUUGCUGUCAUAAUUGACUUUCCACAAUCAUGUAUAAAUUAUUACAUUUUAAUAGAUGCAUUAUCAUUUUGGCAUUAAACAAAAUGGAAAGAAGUCUCUGAAGUGAAGUUAAUCUCACUUAGGUAAUGCAAGUAACAAUAAUAGAGCAAUUAAAUGCAUAAUUAAAUAAAUGAAAAAGAAGAGAUAACAAGUAUGAACUCCGAUUAAUAUAUAGCCCAAUCCUAUACUCUCCUCAAGCUCCAAAUACAAGUUGAGGUUCCACUAGCAUUUAAGGCUUCAAUCGAGCGUUAAUCCUUUACACUCAAUUCUCAAUUUCAAUGACCUUCUUACACUUUCAUUCAAAAAAAUUCUCACUCUUGAAUCUAAUUAAAGAUAACAAAGUCUAAACUCAAGAUGAUAUAAAUGAAAACCAAGAUGGUUUUUUCUUGGCUAGGAUUUCUAAGUUAACAAGGAAGAUCAAUCGGGUUAAGUUAGAUUUUGAUAUCUUAGUUUGCGAGUUUUUUAGGAUCCUAUUUUAAUCUUAUUGUUUUAUCCCAAAACCGUGUGAGAGAGAAAUGAUUAAUUUUAGAUGACAAUUGUACUCCAAAAAUUAUUGGUUCAAAUUUAUUUUACCAUACCACCAUGUUAUAGUUAAAGACACAAAAUUGAAAUUAAAGUUAAGUAUAUUGUUCUCGAUUUGGUUUAGUAAUGACACAAUUAAUAAUUGAACUUAAUGUAAAAACAAGUCUAAAAACUUCAAAAGUUUAAAAUGUAAUUUCAUUAUUAGUUUUCACUUGCCAACUUUAAUAGAUUAUUUUUCAUAAUAUUAGCAAAGGAUACACACACCAAAAGAAAAAUAUUAUAAUGUCAUUGGUGAAUUGAUCUAAACUUUCAAAAUAAAGGUUUUGAUUAAAAAAUCAUAAAACUUUUUUCAAGGAUAAAAAAUAAAGGUCAAGAAUUUAAACUACUAAACCUCAAUAUAAAUUUUGGAUGAUUCAUUAAUGUCGUCCAUUAAGAAGCAUGAGGAAGUACUGAGUCAUAAAUGUGAAGAAGAUGAAUAAAUAUUUAUCGAUAUAAGAUCUAAGAGGUAAUAGUGUGUUACUUAGGUAAAUCUAUAUACGCUUAUUUCAAAGUUCAUGGAAUCUUAUUAUGAUUAACAAACACAUGUUUUUAACAUCCAUAGAGGUUGAAAUAAUACGUGGAGAUGACUUUUAACUUAUAUUUUGUGUGUUUAUGUAUAAUUUUGAUUUCAUUUUACGGUGAUUCUAAAAAGUAUUUUUAGUUUAAGAAGUGUUUUAAAAAAAAAAAAGUAUUUAACAAAAUUUAAUAAACACUUUUAAGAAUAUGAAAAUUCACUUACAGUAUUUUUUGAAAAAAAUAUUUGACAAAUAAUUAUCUUAAAAACAUUUUCAUAUAAUUAUAUUAAUGAAUUUGAGAUAGACUUGAAAUUUAUUAAUUUAUAAUAUCUUAUUUGAACAUAAAAUUUUAACCAAUACCUAUUCAAUCCCGUAAUUAUUAAAAUCAAGAAUAUACACUCAUAAUUUAUAUUAAUAUAAAGAAGUAGAAAGCACUUUCAUCUCAAAUUUAAGCAUAGGGCCCAAAUUUUGUUGAGAGCUGGCCGGAUGUCAUCACAAGCAAGAAAACUAGAAAACAUGGCUAAAGGCUGCUACAGAUGUACCUACGUGCUUGACUGAAAGAAAGGAUUUGCUACAAGAUAAAUUGUCCCCUUGUCUGUAAACCCUCAAGUUGUGACAGCAAAAAAAACAAAAGUAGGCCAAAGAAUUUGUCACUAUUAAGAGCCCAGAGAGGUCUACGUUCAAACUCUGGUAAGAGGAGCGUGCACCACUUGUUCACUGUUUAGGGAUUCAGUCGAUAUUUCUAGGCUCCAUGGUGCAUGGUAGGCAACCGCCCUGUGCGAUGCUGUAACGAUGAAGAUAUACAGAUAUUGCGCUCCAAAUGUCCGGAUGUUGCUUUCUUGUUUCACUGAAGUUUUCCUGAGUGCGAUCGAUAUCAGCAUUUGCUUUAUCGGUACCCACUAUUGACCGAGUUAACUUAUUUGGGAGCAGCUUCUUUCAUACUGCGCCUAUUACGACAAUGAUAUAGAACCCAUUAGUACACAUUUCAUUGGUUUGAGCACAAUGAUCCUCGAGUUUUGGGUUAAAAUGACCCAUUUUUUAAACUUAACGUUGAAAAUGAACUCAUUUUCAAACUAUUGUUCAAAAUGGCCUCUUUGAUGCCACAUCAACCCAUAAAAUCAAUAUUUUAUACCCUUUUUACUUUACCUUUCCAAUCACCCCCGUCCUCCGUUUAAAAUGGCCUUUUUGAUGUCACAUCAGCCCAUAAAAUCAAUAUUUUAUACCCUUUUUACUUUACCUUUUCCAGCCAUCCCCGUCCUCUGUUCUCUCCCGUUCUACUAUCUCCUCUGUGCGAUUUUUUAUGGGGCAUUGAUUAAUAAUAUUAAUAGCCAUAGAUAACAGAUUUAAAAAAAAAAUAAAAGUUGUAAAUAAUGAUAAAUAUAUUUGAAUGGAAUGAUUUUUAAUUCUUUUUUCUUUUUUUAGAAUUUGAGUGGAAUAGGGAAUGUGUUUGCUAAGAAUUUCGACCGACUCAAUAGAUAAUGUGAUUUUUAAAUAUAUUUUUUGGUUAUCUAAAUUUAAUGUUUCUAUCAUAAACUGGAUGUAUCUUGCAUGAAUAUAUAUAUAACAUGUUUGCUAGGAAAAAAAUGAUUUUGGAUAUAAACAAUUUCAAAGUAAAAAAUGAAUAAAUAAUUUUUUUCUAAUAAAGAAAUCUUAAAUAAUUUUGUCUCAACAGCUCUUAAAUAUAAAAUACUCAUCUAGAAUUUUUUUGCCUUGAUAUCAAGAAAACUUCUCAAAUAAGAGUAAACACUUUUUUUUUAAAAAAAAAGCCAGAUUCUUAAAGUAUAGACAUUUUCUCUUUAAAAAGACUUUUGUAUUUGGUUAUAUCCAAAUUUCUAAUAUAUAUAUAUAACUAAUGCAAAAUACUUACACAAAAGAGGGCUAGCUCAAUUGGUGGCUCACAGUUAUUUUUGAAAAAAAAAAUGUUGUCUCACAUUAUUCAAUAGUAUUGAUCAACAUUUCCCCUAAAAAGGAGAGAUUCAAAAUUUUUCAAUGUAACCUGAUAAAAGAAAAAUANNNNNNNNNNNNNNNNNNNNNNNNNNNNNNNNNNNNNNNNNNNNNNNNNNNNNNNNNNNNNNNNNNNNNNNNNNNNNNNNNNNNNNNNNNNNNNNNNNNNUUUAUAUAUAUUUUUUGAGGAUAUAAAUAUAAAAUGUCUCUCACAAACAGGGGGUGUCUCGCGGAAAUAUAUAUAUAACACGUGUGCGGGGAAAAAAAAAUUUUUGUAUAUAUACACUUUCACAGAGAAAAAAGUAUAUAUAUUUUUUUUCUAAAAAAAAGAUAUUAAAAAAUUUUGUCUCACCAGCUCUCAAAUAUAUAAUACUCAUCUAUAAUUUUUUUGCCCCGAUAUCACAAAAAAUUCUCAAAUAAGAGUAAACACUUUUUUUUUAAAAAAAAAAAGAGAGUUUGCCAACAUAUGCGCUAGCCCUCUUUUGUGUAAGUAUUUUGCAUUAGUUAUAGUUAUAUAUAUAUAUAUAUAUAUUAGAAAUGUUGUAUGAUUUUUGAAAAAAAAUAAAAGUGAGCUAGCUGUUCAAAAUUAUUUUUGAAAAAAAUAAUUUUGUCUCAAAUUAUUCAAUAUUAUUGAACAACAUUUCCCCUAAACAGUAGAGAUUCAAAAUUUUUCAAUGUAACCUGAUAUAAGUAAAAUAUGAAUGAAUUGAAAAAAAACGACAAUUUCUAACAACAUUAAUUUCAUUAUUAAAAUUUUAAAAAUUUGAACAGCAUCUCCCCUAAAUAAUAGAGAUUAAUAUUUUUUUCAUGUAACCUAAUAUAAGCAAAAUAAGAAUGAAUUGACAAAAAAUAAUAAUUUCAAACAAACAAAUGUCAAUAAGAUGUUCAAUAAGAUAGUUUCUACAUAUAUCUUAAAACGAUUAAGGUCAAUACUAGUAAAUUUAAAAAAAAUAAGUACAAUAAGAUGUUCAUAAAGUAUAUCAACUCCUCCUAUCAUUGGUUUCUCUAUUAGGACAAGAACGCCGAUUGUGACCCGAUUGCUUGCAAAGUCCACAUGUUUGUGGAGUCCUAGUUUCCCUUGCAUCCAUCUCAUUAUGCAAACGACUUGAUUUUGGUCGACCAAAAGUUAGUCGUUUCAUUGAGUCUGAAGGCACAAUUAUCGGUCCAUUAUAUUGAGGCCACUCCAACUCAUCAAAUAUGGGAUAAAACAAGGGAGCCCAUGUUGAUAGGUAAGCACGUGUGGUGUAAUAACCAUGUACAAAUUGUCGAAAAUCAAUUGCUCGACAAUGACAAGUAGCAAGAAUGUGCGAACAUGGGAAUCCUAACAAAAGUGUUUUGUUACAUGUGCAAGACCCCGUUUGAAGGGUAACAUGAUAUGUGCGAGGUUUCCUAUUACUACUUCCAACAGAGUGUCUAGUUUUAACAUGAAAACGUCUCGCCACAUGAUCAUACAAAAGAACCUCAUGUGCACCUGCCUUAACAACUUUAGCCUUUAUCUUGGCGUCAAUAUGUGGAAUGAAUUCUUCACCUGAAGCGAGCCGACUAGCACCAUGCUCCCGCUUGACUGUGAAGUAACUGUUAACCCGAUAAAAAGUUAACUGGACUAAAGUUGUUAUUGGUAAGUUACGAGCACCCUUAAGGACACCAUUAAAAACUUCAGACAUAUUAGUUGUCAUAAUCCCAUAUCUCCUCCCACCAUCAUAUGAGAGUGCCCAUUUUUCAAGAGGAAUUUGCUCCAACAAAUUUCUAGCCUCGACAUUUAUCUGGCCAAUUGUAUCCAUGUGAGAAAUAAAUUUUUUAACUUUACUCUCCAUAGCAGCCCUACACAUGAGAUCCUUUAAAGUCUUAUCUUUGAACUUUGUGUUGAAAUUACUCGCUAAAUGACGCAUGCAAAAUCUAUGACAAGCAUCUAGCUGAGUCCAUCCCGAAUAUGUUUCAUUGACAGCAGCUAUAAUGCCAGGAUGACGAUCAGAAAUCAGACACAACCCUUUCCUUUGUGUUACUCCAACUCGGAUACAUGCCAAAAACCAACUCCAACUAUCUAUAUUCUCUACUUCUGUAAUGGCAAAUGCAAGUGGAAACAAUUGGUUAUUACCAUCACAUCCCAUAGCAAUCAGCAAAGUUCCUUUAUAUUUUCCAUACAAAUGUGUCCCAUCAAUACUGAGAAUUGGUCGACAGUGUGCAAACCCUUUAAUAGAUGAAGCGAAUGCCCAAAAAACAUGCUGAAAAAUUUCUUCAUUCGGAUUGUUUCCAAGAACCAUUUUGGAAUACAUAAUGCAUCCAGGAUUUGACUGCUCCAAGGCAAGGAAGAAACGAGGCAACUCUGCAUAAGACUUGUACCAAUCACCAAAUAAUCGAGUCAUUGUUUUCCUUUUUGCCUUCAUUGUUUUUUGAUAAGAAAUUUGGUAACCAAAUUGUUCCGCAACAACAGCUUGAAUUGCAGCAACUCUAAUGGUCAUUUCUACCUUCACCAAUGUUUCAAUAUACUUAGAUACAAAGCUAGAAUCCAACUGUGAAUGAUCUUGAUUAAUACAUGGAUUGACACAUGUAUGAGGACCUUUGUACUUUGUGAUUCUAAAAAUACCCGUAUCUUUCACUGUCAUUGCCUUUAGUCGCCAUUGGCACUCUGGUGCUUUUUUACAUUGAAGAACUAACACACUUGCAUUUGAUCUAUAAACAGUAAACUCUUGGUGCGCCUUUAUGGAAAACAUCUUCACAGCAUGUUGCAAAUCUGAUUUUGAGGAAAAUAUUUGGCCAAUUAAUAAUUAUCCAUCAACAUUUCCUAAAGUUGGCUUUUUUCAUGGAGUCCAAUCACUUACAACACAAUUAAUUGCCGCAUCCAUAUUUAAAAAUUGUGGUGUAGGUGGCAUAUGGUAUGAAACGGGUACAAAUGUUUCCUGUAGGUUGUCAUUAGAGAUAUUAAAUUGGGUACCAUGUGGAGAGGCAACUAGUGAUGUGUUUUCAACCUCAAACUCAACCUCAGGAUUAUUAGACCUAUCACCAACUUCAAGGUUCAAAAAUCUUGUGCUUUCACAUUCCACAACUUGUUGGACCAUCACCAAAUCAAUAUUUUCUGUUUGACAACAAUUUUCAUCAUCAUUAGGUAAAUGAAUCUCAUCUGUGUCGAUUGCAUCAUCUCUAUCAUCUUCCUCAUCUCUCUCAUUUUCGUCAUCAACAUCAGUAUCACCUGUUGAUAAUCGUGUCAAAUGACCCAUUUCAUUACUCAAAUGAUAAUGGUUGGGAGUUUGCUCUAUGAAUAAUUGAACUGAAGACAUUCCAUACUUCGAUGGCACCAGUAGCAUACGUGCAACUGUCCGAUCAUUUCUCACCACUAAUGGUUGAAAUUUGUUCAUUUCAGUUGGAUGAUGACAUUUCAAGACUAAUUGAUAGUCUCUGUCAACACCAAUGAUAUCAUAUAUCAUCUUCAACAACUCCACAAAGGUCGUAUGAAUGGGCACAUCUAUAGGCUCAAUCUCUACAUUAUUUCUAAUAUAUCUCAAAUCCGUUUCUGUCCUCAAAAUUGUUCCAUUCCAAUAACAUAGCACUUCUACUGUGGAAUCAGUCAUAAUUGCCUUCACAUAAAUAAUAACAAAAGGUUAUUACAUAAAAAAAAUUAUAUUUAUUUAAGUAAAAAAUAAUGACAGAUUUUAAUAUACAUAUGUUUGUGUAUACAUGGACUUAAAUAUAAAAAAAAAAAACAAACCCAAAACCUCCAUUUUUUUAAACAACAACUAUCUCAUUUCCUGUUCUUGUUUUGUUAAAAACUCAUUUUAAUUAAGCCCAACAGCUGUAAUGGGAGGGCCUCGGUUUUUUGCAACAAUAAUUUACUCUCCUUGUAGCCAAUUCUCACCAACCAAACAUAGCAACAAAACACAAUCAACACAGCCACAAUCAACACAGCCCAACAAAAAAAAUUCUAAAAACCGAGAUUUUGAGAUGAGAAAAAAAAUUGGAAAGUGCCAAAAACUUUAUAUAAGCCAAAAAGAAGAUUAUGACUCACCUUAAACUUUUUUGUAGCUCCACCGUUUUUUUUAGUGGCCCACUAGUGAGGCUAGGGUUUACAAAAAAAAAUCGCACAGAGAGAUAGCAGAAUGGGAGAGAACAGAGCUCGGGGAUGGUUGGAGAAAAGGUAAAGUAAAAAGGUAUAAAAUAUUGAUUUUAUGGGCUGAUGUGACUUCAAAGGGCUAUUUUGAACAGAAAAGAUAAAGUAAAAAGGGUAUAAAAUAUUAAUUUUAUGGGCUAAUGUGAUUUCAAGGGGCUAUUUUGAACAAUAGUUUCAAAAUUAGCCCGUUGUCAACUUUUAAGUUUAAAUGGGCCAUUUUGGCCCAAAAGUCAUGAUCCUCAACCUAGCAUGAUGAUCAGUCACCUCAUCUGCAGACCACUUUAGGAAAUAAUUAAUUGUAUUGAUUUUUCAACCGCAUGUACGAAGAGCUUUAUCAAAAUCGGAUUGAAUGCAUCUUGAUCAGCAUGCGACAGAGAUUCCAUUCUCGUCAAAGUAAUUCGGUGGGCGCCCUACAUCAUCUUAAUUCCAAUGUUGAAAUUAAAGAGGGCUAUACAUCAACUCUGGUAUGAUAAGCUAAGGAUCAAAAUAGGGCUGCUACUUUAUAUAGGAUUAGACCAAAUAAAGCUGAUAGAUUGAUAUUACAUUUGAUUACAUUGGAAAGUAACGUUGAACCUAUGAUGAAAGACAAUUCUACUGGGUCAUGCCCCUAGCACUAAAUGCUGAUAAAAAGCAAGUAUGUGUUCAAAAGAAAUUAAUUCUAUAUAUGCAUAUUUGCGCUCAAACCGAAAACUAUCCACGACUCAACUAUAGUUAUCCUUCCUUCGGGCAUUAUAAGCUAGCUGCCAUGUAUUUCCUUCUCCAAUACCUAAACUUUACAACAGUCGGAGUCUUUGCCACACUUCUCCUUUCCUACUGUCUAUUAUUAUGGAGGUCUAGAGAAGGUAACAGCAAAAUAGCACCUGAAGCCACCGCUGCAUGGCCCAUAAUCGGUCACCUGCACCUGUUAGGUGGGUCUGAUCAGCUUCCCCACAUAACCUUGGGAAACAUGGCCGACAAAUAUGGGCCGGUCUUCACAAUUCGUCUUGGGGUGCAUCGAGCUUUGGUGGUGAGUAGCUAGGAGAUGGCUAAAGAAUGCUUGACCACCAAUGACCAGGCUGCAUCCUCGCGUCCCGAACUUUUAGCCUCAAAACAUUUGGGCUACAACCACGCCAUGUUUGGUUUCUCUCCGUACGGUUCUUACUGGCGUGAAGUGCGCAAGAUAAUCAACCUAGAGCUACUCUCUAACCGCCGCCUAGAGCUGCUGAAGGACGUCCGAGCUUCAGAAGUGGUGACAUCCAUAAAAGAGCUAUACGAGCUCUGGGAAGAGAAAAAAAAUGAAUCGGGCCUUGUCUCGGUGGAGAUGAAGCAGUGGUUUGGAGACUUGACUCUGAACGUAAUUCUUAGGAUGGUGGCAGGGAAGCGUUAUUUCAGUGCUUCAGAUGCAAGUGAAAAUAAACAGGCGCAGAGGUGCCGGAGAGUGUUCAGGGAAUUCUUUCAUUUGUAAGGGCUCUUUGCGGUGGCGGACGCUAUUCCUUUUCUUGGAUGGCUAGACUUGGGGAGACAUGAGAAGACCCUAAAGAAGACAGCAAAAGAAAUGGACAGUAUUGCUCAAGAAUGGUUAGAGGAGCACCGUCGGAGGAAAGACUCCGGUGAAGUUAAUAGUACGCAAGACUUCAUGGAUGUGAUGUUGUCAGUUCUUGAUGGCAAAAUCCUUGGUGAUUACGAUGCUGAUACCGUCAAUAAAGCCACAUGCCUAGUAUACAUUAUUGGAACACCCACAUAUCAUAUAUAUUUGCAUAUUAUCAGGGCUAGCUUUAUUUCCAUAGGUACUUCUCUUAAUUUUGAAGUGUUACACUGCAAUAAUCAAAUAAAUUUUAAAUUUUAUUUUUUAAAAAUAAAAUUUAAAAAUAUAUAUACCGCUGAAAGAAUUGAUUUCAGAAAAUUAUUCUUUGAGAGCACCUUUGAUAAACUGAGACAUGUUUCUAGGGAAUACUAAAUAUGAUGUUUUUAAAAACGGCUUAAUUUGUAAUUUUAUUUUUGAGCAAGUUGCAAAAUACUUUAUCUGCUUCCAAUUUUCAUUUUGGUCGGCAAUAAGGGGCAAUAAGGGGUUAUCCAGGUUUCCGUAGUUAUAUUUAAUUUCCCUUGUAGAAAAUAAGUGAUCUUGAAAUCAUAAGUUUAAUCAUGUUUGCUUGAAUAAGAAACUUGAAGAUCCUGUAAAGAGAUGACAUACAUCGUUUGGGCAAUAUACCUAUGUAAGAGAUGGUUGGUUUAGAAUUUUUCUCUUAAACCAUAUAUAGGAGAAAAUGGAAAAAAAAAAUACUGUUAUUUUUUUACUAGGCCAUACUAUUUAAUAGUGUCUGAAGAGAGUUUCAUUACAUGCUAUCAAACAAUUAAUUUUGUCUCAUCACCUGCGUAAUCUUAAGUUGUUAUCUUUUGUGUUUUGUAGGCUCUAAUUGUAGGAGGUAGUGACACAACAGUUGUCACUUUAACUUGGGCGCUCUCUCUUCUAUUAAAUAAUCGUGACACCUUGAAAAAGGCACAAGAAGAAUUAGAUAUUCAAGUUGGCAAGGAAAGAUUAGUGAAUGAACAAGAUAUCAGUAAAUUGGUCUAUCUCCAAGCCAUUGUUAAAGAGACAUUACGAUUAUAUCCGCCAGCGGCACUUGGAGGACCACGUCAAUUCACUGAGGACUGCACCUUGGGUGGUUACCAUGUCUCCAAAGGCACCUGAUUAAUAUUGAAUCUUUCCAAAAUCCAAAAGGAUCCAAGAAUUUGGAUGAGUCUAACAGAAUUCCAACCAGAGAGGUUUCUAACCACCCAUAAGGACCUUGAUCCUCAAGGAAAACAUUUUGAAUUUAUACCAUUUGGUGCGGGUAGAAGAGCAUGUCCAGGAAUAGCUUUCGCUCUUCAAAUGCUACAUUUAACAUUGGCCAAUUUCUUACAGGCGUUCGACUUUUCAACUCCAUCAAAUGCACGAGUUGAUAUGUGCGAGAGCCUUGGACUUACAAACAUGAAAUCUACCCCACUUGAAGUUCUCAUUUCUCCACGCAUGUCUUUGUUAUAGUCUUUACAACUAAAAUAUUGAAAUGAAAAGGUAAAAGCUGGCCUAGUUGGCUAGUCUUAGUUUAAAGACAUCUUGAGUUAGCCUUAAGAUGCAUAAGAUAAGAUUUAGGAGUGUAUUAAAAAUAGUUUGGACUAAAAAUGAUGUAUGGUAAACUAAACUAUAAUCUAUUCCAAUAAAAGUAUAGUAUUAUAUAUUAUUUGGCCAGCCUUUUAAAAUUUAGCAUCAUAAAUUUGAACAUAUAUAUAAACCUUAGUCUAACUUUAUUUCUCUAUUUUGUGUAGUUUAUUGGCACUUUUUUUUCCCUUUUUUUUCACCAAAACAGGUAAUACAUAGGCUUUUCAAAAAUAUUACCUAUAUAAGAAUUUUAUUAUUACAUACUUAGAGGAUGUUUGGUAAAUCAAUAUAAUGGCUUAAUGACCUAUUUAAGUCUUAACUAGAUUAAGAAUAUUUGGUAAAAUAACUUAAAGAAUAAAUUAAUUAUUUUAACUUAGCACUUAAAAUUAAAUACUUGACCAGGCAAAAAAAAAAAAAAAAAAAGACUUUUAUGGAAUAAGGGCAAGAAAGAAGAUAAGAAGGAUUAGUAGUUGCCUAGUCGAGGAACUUGAGGCCGACAUUCAGAGUGCGGUCCCAGAGUUCAAGACACCGCCUAAAACUAGUGUCGGUCAUAGAGAGACAUUAAUUUUUCAAUGAAACAAACCCCAUCUCUUGUUCUCUCCCGCCUCAACAGCAGUGGUAAGUGUGGAUAUAGAUCUAAAUGCAAGAUGAUCCCGAACUGAUUUCAUACCACCAUCCAUCACCAACCAAUCACAUUCCACUUCCCACUUCAAACUUUUCGAUUCCUCGGGUAGCCUCCUCUAUAAAGGCAGUCUAGCUUCAGAGGCAGGUGAGCCGGGUCAGGAAGGAGUUUGACUGCUGGGAAGGGAUUGGAUCCUACUCGAAGCACUCCACCAUGAAUAAGAAUCUUCGAGUUAGAUAGGCAGUAGAGAUAGGAACUCCUAUUUGUAGGGUGGGCUUUCAAGACAGAGAUGCACUACUCCAUCUGGAAAGGGCUUUCCCUCGUGGGGAAAGAGUAUGAUUAAGGAAGACCAAUUAAAGAAGGGUGGUCGUAGAUCAGAUAUCGAUUAACUGCUUGGCAACCUAUCCCGAAUUGACCAGUUGACCAGGUAGGAAUACCUGUACUAAUUGCAACAAGAGAGACCAAUAGAGUUGAACAGACAACUGACAGCUCGCAAUUGAGAGACUUUCCUGUUGAGUUGACAGAUGAGCGAUUGCAAGAAAUAGGGGAAAAAAGACAGAUAACGCACAGAUUGACUUAGCAAGAAGCGGUUAGUGGGACUUAGUUCGAGGUUUUAUUCCUCUUUCCUUAUUCGUGAACAUAUGGGACUCUUUCUUUUUGCUUUCUUCAAUCACUUCGAUCUCUGCCACUCUCGCCUGUCGAAGAUAGCCUAGUCUUUUAAAGUAUACGAUUUCCGAGUUAUUGAACUCCUAAAUUCAUUCCGAUUGGGGAAUAAUAAAAGAUGUUAUUAACUUCAAGUUAUCCCAAUAUUUAUAGCUAAAGCCCUAGAGGGCGCGUUCUUAAACCUUUUCGCUACGUGAAAUUUAAGCAAGAUCUCAUCGGUUCUAUCUUUAGCGAAAUCUUCCUUUAGCUUUGAUGUCAGGUGAUCAAAAGAGAUUACCGAAUAGAGCUCUUAUUCAAACCAUCAUUCUUUUCUAGUUAUCACACUCAGAUAGAGGGAAGAUUUAGAUUUGUAUCCCAACUUAUUAAUCCAACUUCCACGAGGUAAGUCAAAUGCUCUAUGGGCGAUGUCUAAGCAGUGUCUACGAACCUAGACGAAAAGGGCUUUCAUUACCAUGUUGGAAUUUUGAACAGGACCACCUACCAAUCAGUAUACGACAACAAAAAGGCUCAGAGAAGCAUUUAGCGAGUAUGAUGGGGCCCAGAUCACAGUAAACUUUGACAAAGCAUGGGGGUCUCUUUGUGACUAUGCAAUUAAAGAGGACGAACAACCUCUGACUUGGAAGGAAGAAAGCCUCGCCCAAAUAAAGGAACGGGUCAAUGCGAAGAAAACUCAUAGGAAGACCGAUAUAGAAACAAAACUAAAAAAUAUUGAUAGGAUGUCAAACAAAGAGGAUAGGUUCCAAGUUUAUGAGGAUUUAGUAUUUGCGCAAAAGUUCCUAUCUUCCUAUUCCUAGGUUAAGUCUAUUUUCGAUGAUCUGAAAAUCUUAAAAGACAUCAAGGGAGAACACCUUGUCAAAUAGAAUCUAUACGAGCAUGGGAAACCUGAUGAAUAUGACAUUGAGGAAUUGAAUUGGGAGAAAAAGACUGACUUAUUUAUUGCUUGAUUUGAUUGCCUAUCAACUUGCUUUUAGUAGACCUAGUAAAACAACUAUUCCUUUUUGAGGAGUCGAGUACCUAAAAAACGAUCAUUCUCCAUUUUCUGUCAAAAGUGCUCCGAAUCUACUUCGCUAGCUCAUGGAAAAAUGACUUCGUGGGGACUCACGAUUACUACAAUUUAUGGGUAUUCUUUGAGUUCCACGAACCAGACACGGGAAGCACAGUCAUUGGAGCAUUCGAAACAGGAACGACUUAUGCUAACACAGUCUUUAAGAUUCUGGACGGGUAUAUCGACUUGACUCCAAAUACAAUCAAAUUAUAACAAAAAAAAAAUGUGCUUAUAAGAAUCAAAAUUCUUGCAAAUAAACUUCCCUUGUGUAUUAGGGACCCUUUCAAGCAAGGUUCCAAACAUUAAGAUUCUUUUCCAAUAAAAAGAUAGUAAAAGAGGCACAAAUCAGAUCAUAGAAACCUUGUGGGGUUGCAUACAACGCCAAAUAACAAGCAGCGCUUACGUACAACGAGAAAAGAUAAAGAAAUUGCCUAGAUCAACUACAACGAAUGCAAAUGCGUAUUAUUACCAAACCUGAUACCACUAGAUUUAUUUCUUAGUUAUAUAAUAUAGUAGCAAACAUGCCGAGAGAAACAAUACCCAUACCUGCUGUGGAUUCACAGGGGGACACGACGGCGAGAAAUUUUUGGCGGACGGAUUAUUCAUCACGCAAUUGGGCCAUACAACAAGGUUAUACAAUGUGGCGUAGAAUCCAGCAGGAAGACGACUUUAUGAAAACAAAAAAGAUCCUAGUAGUGAUACUUGACAUAGAAUCGAAAAGAAGCCAAAGCUACAAGUACGCAGAAGAUGUGGGGGGAGAUGAUACGAGACUUUCUUUAAUCGAUUUUGCCAUUAUUCCCUUGAAGCAAAAAAAAAAAAAGACAAAAGAUAUUAUUAUAUAUUUAAUAACAUAUGUAAAUGGAGGAAAGCACCCUUAUUUUAUUGAAAUACAUCUGUGUGACGAAAGGCAACCCAUCUGGUACCUACCACUACUCGAAAACCAUUUUAUCCAACGGUGUGGAGAAAUUAAAACGAACAUUGUUAGGAUUACGCAACUGGGGCCCUUCUUGAGUGAAAAUGACAAAGAGAAGAGGAAGUCAGAAAAACUCUACCCAUAUUGAUCAAACUAUACCAAAGCGAAGUCUCAUGCAAAAAAGAAAUGAAAUAAAAAAAGGCAAGAUGAGCAAGAAUUUGGGAUAACACGUUUCAUAAACGAAUUCAGCCCUCAAGAACAGAAAGCAUAGGUUGAUGAACUCAUUAAACAAUCCGAGAACACAAACAACUACCCAAGAUUCGGGCUAGAGCUGUGCACAAGUAGGAACUUUAGCCGCCACUAGUACGUACGACAAGUGCAGUGCUUCUGCCCUCUUAUCUUGUUCCUGAACAGGAGGUACACUUGGUCCCUUGUUACAUGACUUUUUUUAUAUCUUUAUGGUCUGAGAUAUCAAGUCGUAACACCGUUGGUUCUUUGAUAAAAUUUUGUAAUGCACCGAUGGUGUUUUAGUUGCCCCUUGAGGGAACCAGUCCUUAUGGUAGAGGGCCAAGAAAAGAUAGCGUGCUUGUGUUGGAAGCAAGCAAGCGGGCAAGCGGGUGAACAAAUCACCAAUUGAACUAGACAUUCGGUUACUAGGAGCAUCCCUUUAUCAGCAUCUUCAUAACUGUCUUCAAGCUUCUGGGCCUCGGAAACACAAUAGAAUCUUGUGAUCGAGUGAAGGGCAAAUGAGCUACCACGUCCCAGCUAAAAAUCUUACCUGAUUUUAGCUACUCCCGUAACCGUCCCUUUGAGUACUUAUGGCAAUCAUUUACCUUAUUUAUACCCAUCUCAAAUAAUGGGACUCGAUUUAUCAUUUGAAUUUAUCUCCAAAAAUUGGACUGAAAGUGAAUAUGUUUUCUUUAUUGUAGAAGUUUACAUCUGGAGCUCCCUUGAGUGGUGUUAGCUGGUCGUAAGUCAGAAAAGGAAAGGAAUGAGGGGCAAGACCGGAGACCUACGACCAUAGGCUAGAGACCGAAGAAUCCCAUAACCUGUUUCGAGAAGGGCAGGCUAGUUUAAGCAUAGUCAUUCGAUUCGACAUCUGCCUCUUUCAAGCGGAUAGAGAAAGGAGAGUAGGAGCACAAGAAGGAUCAGACGAUUCUAAUUGUUAGACAGAGUAGAGGGGAGAGAGGCAAAUUGAGUUUCUGAAGCUGACGAAGUGAUUUACUAUAUUGUGGAGCUUCCACCAACAGUAGUUUUUCCACCAUAAGGGGAGAGAUAUUGCGCUAGGUCAACUCGAGCAUAGGGUUACAGACGGACAUCUUCCGUUCAAUCAGAUGGGACUCUUUGUUGAGAGUUCUAAAGCUAGGUUUGCCACUUUAAACCCAACAGAUGCAAAGCAAAAGCCAAAAAACCAGCAACUCUCUUACUUCAAUUGACUGCUUGACUUCUUUCUAUCCGAUUAGCAUUGGUUUAUGCUGUCUCGAAAACAGGAACUUAGGAUUUUUAUACCAAGAUUCAAGACAAGAAGUCUCGACAUUCCUCAUAUGGGAAAAAAAUGAAGUGGAACCUUCCAAAGGCCCGGGUUACGAUGCUUCAAGUUCAAUGAAGGAAAUUGGGAGAACUUGAAAAUGGACCAUGACUCUAUUAGCUUACUAGCUUAGCUUCGUGAGCUUGCUUCUUUGGUUAGACAAAAAGCAUUCUACUUACUGUCGAAGUGGAAAUCAUUCUCUAGGUCGAUAAUAAAAUAGUGCUUUCAAAGUAGAAAGGAGGACGAACUAUAUUGGAAUUUCUUAGGGCAAAAUUCUCAAAGGCUAGCUAGCAAGAAAGUGAUAGUCUAAUGGUUACAACGAGUGAGCAUACUGGAUUAAGUUUACAAUCUCCGAUAUUAUCCAUUUCAGAAUCUUUCACUAUCGAGAGGAAAUUGUUUNNNNNNNNNNNNNNNNNNNNNNNNNNNNNNNNNNNNNNNNNNNNNNNNNNNNNNNNNNNNNNNNNNNNNNNNNNNNNNNNNNNNNNNNNNNNNNNNNNNNNNNNNNNNNNNNNNNNNNNNNNNNNNNNNNNNNNNNNNNNNNNNNNNNNNNNNNNNNNNNNNNNNNNNNNNNNNNNNNNNNNNNNNNNNNNNNNNNNNNNNNNNNNNNNNNNNNNGGGGGGGGGGAAGCGAUCCAGACAAGGAUAGUCUCAAAGGAUAUUUAGGUUAUCACACACAAAGUGUGGGUCCAUGCGAGCAAGGCUUAGUAGCUUUCCAUGACGAUCCAACAGAUCAAAUAUGAUUCUAGCCAAAGCCAAUUGGAAGAAAUGAAUCUCUUGGGCCUUCUCCUGCGGGCAUCUAAGGUUCUCUUGCUUAAUUUAUUCUUUAUCUCAAUUUUUUUUUCCUUCACUUAUCCAUGUUCAAUAAAACCGUAUUUUACAAUUAUGACUUUGAAUUUACAACUCAUCUUUUAUAGUAAAUAUUUUCGUAAUUUAUUUACAAUACUUUAAAUCUAAAUAUUUAACAACUAAAUUUAUUAUUAUUAUUUAAGAUUAGUAAAACUAUAAAUAUUAGUUAAAAUGAAUGAAGAUAAAUAUAUAGAUUUUAUAAUUCAAAAUAAAUAUUAAGUUAAUUCUAUUAAACAAUCCUAAUAUUAAAAGUAAUAAAUAAGUAAUAAAUUUUAGUUUAAUAAUUUAACUUGAAAUCAAUUUAAUUAAAUUAUUAAAUAAUAAAUAUUAAGUUUUAUCCUGAACGUUAAUCUCAACGACCUUGACAUCUAAAUAUGAUCUGCCCCAAUUAAAUAUUAAACCAUAACUUAACAUAUGCCCGCAUGACCCUCGGAGCAUAUAAUUAAUUCAUUUCAAAGAUCACGGAAGAUCCUUUUAGUAACAUGGCUCCAUUGAUAUAGCAUUCUAUUUAUUGACCGCUACGUAUUAUAUAAAUUCAAAGAUCAUGGAGAGGAUCUUGUCGGCAAUCAUUCGUCAGAAGAAGGGCAGUUUCCUUCAUAAAAUAGUAGACUUUGAAUAAAAGUAAUCUACACAACAUCAUAGCAUAUGCAAGCAAUUUUGGACGGAUUACGAAAGUCAAACCUACUGGGCCACGCCCGUUACAACAUCUCGAAAUAGGGAGAAUUGUGUUUUUGAUCCAGGCCCCAAAAAUUAACAUUUGGUCCUCCAACCACCCAUAUUUAAGCCCAAGACCCAAAUAAAGUAUGAAAAUUAAGAUGAAAGAUAUUGUCUUUCAUUAAUUCCUAAAAUACCCUUAUCCCUUAUAUGCCUACAAGUGAGUGUGAAUUUUAAUUUUUUUUAUAUUUUUUUUCCUUUUCUAUUCCCUAUUAAAUAUUACUUAUUUCUAACUUUUUUUUUCCUUUUUAUUUCAAUAUAUAUUUCUAUUUUAUGUCAAAUAAAAAACAAUAAUAUUUUUUUAUUUUUCAUUUUUAAAGAUAUUGAAUCUUUUUGCUCUUAUUAAAAGCAAUGAUAAAAAUUUUGAGAUUUUUCAUCCAAAUAUUUUUUUAUCUUUUUGUAUUUAUCUUUUAGUUUAAUUUUCAUUUUUUAUUUUAAAUUUAUAUUACCCUUUCAUCUAUAUUUUUCUCUUUUUUUUAUAUUUUCUACAUUAACCAUAUUUUAAAAAUUUUUAAAAUUAACUAUCACUUCACUUUAUUAUAUAUAUAUAUAUCUUUUUAGCUUUUUAAUUUUUAAUGUUUUUAUUUUAAAAUUUUUAAAAAGAUAAAUUUGUUGAAAAAAAAUAAUUAAGAUAUGAAGUUCUAAUAUUAUAUUAAUAAUUUUUCUUAUCUAGAUAGACUAAUGCAAAGUAUUUUGACCCACAACAAGAAAAUUGUCAAUACAAUUUUUUAGUUAAACUUUAAAAAUUAAGUUUCAAAUAAAAUAUAUUAUAUAAAAUUUUAUCUAAAAAUUAUUGAAAGUGGUAUUUAAUUUUUUUAUUUAUUGACUUUGAAACUUAUCUAAUUUUUUACUUGAAAGGUAAUAGAACAUGUUUACAAAAAAAAUUAGUUUUUCAUUUUUUUAAAUAAAUGAGUAUAAAUAUAUUAAAAAAAUUAAAGAUAAUCUUAGUAAAAAAUUUGAUAAAUAUGAUUAUAAUUUUAAAUAUAGAUUCAUGUGGAUAAAAUUUCACAAAAAAAAAAUAGUGGAAAGAAAGAACAUUGCUAAAACUACAAAAACAAAAUAUGCAAUUACAAAAAUUUGAUGAUGAAAUUUAAAAAUAAAAUUCGAAACAAUUCUUGAGUGAGAGAAUUUGAGUGGGGAAAAAAUAUUUGAGUGGAAAAAAAUGGGAAAGUUUUUCGAAAUCACUUUAAAUCCUUAACAAAAAGUAGUCUUAUACACCCUUGUACAAUUAGUAAAUUUGUCUUGUACAAUUAGUGUAAUACCCUUGUACAGUUAGUGUAAUACCCUUGUACAAUAUCUCAAAUUUCAUACAUCAUUUUAUGAAUAUCUAACAAUAGGUCGGUUAACCAUGUUUGCAUCGGUUUGGUUUUAAAAAGGAAAAAAAAUUGUUGUAUAAUUUUGUUUUACAAUCAUCAUAAGUGAGGUACCUAUUAAAAUGACCAUAUACAAGUUAGAUAAAAUUCAUGAGAUGAAUGUAUGCUUAACUAAUGUGUGUAAGAAAUGUCAUUUAUCUUUGGUUAAGGGAAAUAAACAAACAAGUUUUUUAAAAUCACUUAAAAUCCUUCACAAAUAAUAGUCUUGUACACCCUUGUACAGUUAGUAUAUUUGUCAUGUACACUUAGUGUAAAUACCUUGUACAGUGACUAAAAAAAAAACGUUAUUUUAUUUUAUUUUCAAUGCAAAAUGUAAUUAAAAAUAAGACAAAGAAAUUACUUAAAAACUAUUAUUUAAGCCAAAUUUAUUUAUUUAUUUCCUUUUAUUUUUGGAAAUAAAGAAAAAAGAAUAAAAAAUUUAUUUAACCAUAAGAAAUAUGAAUAUAAGAUCAGUUGGAAAAUUUUAAAUUUAUUUAUUUAUUUCAUUUUAUUUUUGGAAUUAAAGAAAUAAAAAAUUAAAAAUUUAUUUAAUCAUAAAAAAUAUUGAUAUAAGAUAUAUUAAAAAAUAGAAAUAACCCCAAAUUUAUUUACUUAUUUCAUUUUAUUUAUUAAAUUAGAAAUUAAUUUAUUUUAAUAGAUUAAAAUGUGCACAAUUUAUUUAUUACUUUGUUAAUUAUGGAUAUAUUAAAAUUUUCGAUAAAAAAUAAAUAAAGAAAAUAAAAUUAAAAAGAGUAAUAAAUAUAUAUAAUUUAGUUAUUUAAUUAUUUUUCAUGUAAAAGAUGGUCCCACAAAAAACAUAUAAUUGAUCAAUUUCUUUGUUUAAUCAUAAACAUACUAUUUUUUUUAUUAUUAAAAUAAAUAAUGAAAAAAAAUAAAAAUGGAUAAUCAAUGAAUGAAAUUUAGUUCUUUUUAUUAUUUUCAUAUAAAAAAUAGUACUAAAUAAGGUUUUCAAUUUUUAUUUUUUAAAAUAGUUUUCAUUUUUUAAUUAAAUGUUUUUUCAAAAAGAAAAUAUAAAAAAUAUAAAUCAUAUUACUAUUUUUUAGAAAGUAUUUUUUAAAAUAGCUUUCGAACAUAAUUUUUCUUUAUUUAUAAUUUAAAAUAGAAAAUAAUGUUGAUUUUCAAUUAUUUAUAAAAAAAUUAAAAUAAUGAAAAAUCCAAAUUGUUAAAAUAGAAUUAUUAUGGUUGCAUGAAUAAUGGUGCAAUAAAGACAAAAAAAAAAGUUUAUGUGAAAUGUCAUUGGGUAUUUUAGUCCAUCACUAUUUAAUGUCCUUAAAAGGUAAUGUAUAGAAAUUUGAAGGAUAUAUUGGUCUUUUAACAUCUCAUAUCCUUUCCAUCAAUUAUGGAAGUUAUAUAGACCAAAUGUUAAUUUUUGGGCCCAAUUGGGCCCAAAACACAAUUCUCCCCUCGAAAUAUGGUAGUAUAGAUAGAUGCUUAAGCUGGAAAAACACCGACAGAUCGAUCUAACCAUGGCGGUGCCACACUCCAGCAGUCUUCUUCAAUACCUAAAUGUUACCACGAUCGGAGUGCUUGGCAUACUUUUUCUUUCCUACUAUCUAUUAGUACGGAGAUCCAGAGCUGGUAAGAGAAGAAUAGGACCUGAAGCAGCUGGUGCAUGGCCAAUAAUCGGUCACCUACACCUCUUAGGUGGGUCACAGCUCCCUCAUGUAACAUUGGGAACCAUGGCCGACACAUAUGGGCCGGUCUUCACAAUUCGUCUUGGGGUGCAUCGAGCUUUGGUGGUGAGUAGCUGGGAGAUGGCUAAAGAAUGCUUGACCACCAAUGACCAGGCUGCAUCCUCGCGUCCCGAACUUUUAGCCUCAAAACAUUUGGGCUACAACUACUCCAUGUUUGGUUUCUCUCCGUACGGUUCUUACUGGCGUGAAGUGCGCAAGAUAAUCAGCCUAGAGCUACUCUCUAACCGCCGCCUAGAGCUGCUGAAGGACGUCCGAGCUUCAGAAGUGGUGACAUCUAUAAAAGAGCUAUACGAGCUCUGGGAAGAGAAAAAAAAUGAAUCGGGCCUUGUCUCGGUGGAGAUGAAGCAGUGGUUUGGAGACUUGACUCUGAACGUAAUUCUUAGGAUGGUGGCAGGGAAGCGUUAUUUCAGUGCUUCAGAUGCAAGUGAAAAUAAACAGGCGCAGAGGUGCCGGAGAGUGUUCAGGGAAUUCUGUCAUUUGUCAGGGCUCUUUGCGGUGGCGGACGCUAUUCCUUUUCUUGGAUGGCUAGACUUGGGGAGACAUGAGAAGACCCUAAAGAAGACAGCAAAAGAAAUGGACAGUAUUGCUCAAGAAUGGUUAGAGGAGCACCGUCGGAGGAAAGACUCCGGUGAAGUUAAUAGUACGCAAGACUUCAUGGAUGUGAUGCUGUCAGUUCUUGAUAGCAAAAACCUUGGUGAUUACGAUGCUGAUACCGUCAAUAAAGCCACAUGCCUGGUAUACAUUAUUGGAACACCCACAUAUCAUAUAUAUUUGCAUAUUAUCAGGGCUAGCUUUAUUUCCAUAGGUACUUCUCUUAAUUUUGAAGUGUUACACUGCAAUAAUCAAAUAAAUUUUA
rnacentral:lncRNA from 1 species